rnacentral:lncRNA from 1 species
UAUUUAUAAGAAGUUGAAAAAAAUAAUAUUUAUAAGAUAUAUAUAUAUUGAUAUACAUAUAGGAGUAACUAUUAUUUUGGGACUUGAGAUGAGAUAGUAGCAGAGGGGUGUUUUCGAAGUUGUGUGCAGAUAAAAGAACAUAUCAAACACCGGUUUAAUAACCAUAUAUCUUGCGAUAAAACGAUGGUUUACUAUACGUAGAGUCACUCUUUCUAAUAUCAAGCAUGUGGCCACAUUCAAUGAAACUCUAUACAACUUUGAUAUGCAUAUAUUUCUUGUGUAUAGAUUGCAUGUAUGCAUGUGGAUAUGUAUGUGUGUAUGUAUGUGUGUAUGUAUCAUGUAUGUAUGUAUGUAUGUAUGUAUGUAUGUAAGUGGACAAAAGAUGAGGAAAGGUUGGUAUAUAGGUUGGUAGGGAGAUGGGUAGUGAGAAAUAAAUAGAGUUUGGUAGAAGAAAGGGUCCAUUGGUUGUUGCUUCCUUCAUUUAUGUUUUUCUCUUCUUUUUUUUUCCUUUUGUUUUUUUCAUUUUUUCCAAAUAUUUAUCUUUUCCUUUGAUAUCUAACAUUUUUUUCCCUACAUCCUCUGUUACAACUUAUCUACUUGUGCCAAAUUAACUACAAACCUCACUCUCCACUUGUCACGAAUCAGUUGGAUUUGUUUUCAUUUCAUUUUCUUCGUGAUUUUUUUUAUUUUUAUAAGAGAGCUUAAUUAACAAGAAAUUAUCUUUUUAUAAUCUAAGUAUUAUGUGAUGAAGCUAUACUAAUCAUCCUUUUCUCCUUAUUUGGCUUAUCUCCAACAUUGGAUAAUGAGUUUUUUUGGGAAACCAGCCAGUUAUUAACAAAAAAAACUAGUAAUCUCAACUGUAUAAAAUUAUCUUACAGCUAAUAUUAUACGAUUUUCAAAUAUUCUCAUCAAGUAGAGAUCGAUCUACAAUCAUUAUAUAUAGGCUUGAGCAUCUAGAAAAAUACUAAACUAAAAAAACUCUACUUGAUUUCAGUAUGGAAAAUCUGAUCACCGAUAAUUCAUAGAUGGGGGUAUUCAAUAUCGUUGGUUUUGCAAAGAAGUUUGUUAAAGAAAAUGGUUAAUUGCCUAAUAAAAAUAUGUUUUGUAUAAAGUUUAAAAUUCAACAGUAAAGUUACUCGUGAUACAAAGCGCGAUGAAGAAAUUACCUUCCAAAAUCUCUAGGCAAAAAAAAGAUUGUACAGUUACGCCUAAAAAUUGACAAUAAUUAUUUCAUCUCCAAACUUCUAAAACCCAAAAGAGAAGUGGUUUCUUUCUUUGCCAACCCUAAAAAAUCAAAUCCGUUGCUUAUGUCACUCCCGUUGCCACUGCCGCUGCUACCUCCGACAACAUCGCAUCUCCUUCUUCCACAUCUGCACUCCAUGCCGUUUAUCAUCCCUAAGCUGCAGUUGAAACAACGCGGCGUCGUUAAGAUCCCCUCUCCCACCAAGCCUUGGCGACGAUCAGCAACAUCAGGAAGACUGAUUCUGAGCUCAAGAUUCAAAUCUGGGAACUUUUCUUCGAUUGGGCGCUCAUCUUUUUCUUCUUUGAACGUAAGCAUUGAGAUUUUCUCUGACUUUCCCGGAAAACUUAUGCUUUCCUGGAAAGUUUCGACCUUUGGAGUAGAAGAGGAAGAAGUGAAGGAGAUAUUAAUGGUGUUAUUACUCGUGAUUGGUUCUAGCUGUAUAGGUUUAGAAUCCUGAGAAGCUGAUGAUUCUUGGAUUGGUCUAUGAGUCGUUGGAUCAAUCCCUCUGUUUAUCAGCUUUCUUCGUAUAUGUGUGUUCCAAUAGUUCUUUAUCUCGUUAUCUGUUCUUCCCGGUAAUCUCCCCGCGAUAAGCGACCAUCUGUCAACAUAAAUAAUAUAGCUACGUUAGACAUCGAAGUUCCUUGGUUUUUUUUUUUUUAGUCUUGUUUGUGUUUUUGCAUGUAUUAACAACGACAAAAAAGUCCCUAGCUAGAGACUAUAUAUGUAUGUAUGUAUAUUAAUAAGGUACUCACUUGUUGCCAAGAAGGCUAUGGAGCUUGAUGAUGAGCUCAUCCUCUUCCUCGGUGAAGUUUCCGCGCUUAAGGUCAGGCCGGAGAUAGUUGAUCCACCGGAGACGGCAGCUUUUGCCACAGCGGAGAAGGCCGGCGGCUUUAGGGAGAGAUCUCCAGCAGCCUUCGCCAUGAGCUUUAAUGUAAGCUAUGAGUCUCUCGUCCUCUUCUUUCGUCCAUGCUCCUUUGUUCGUGUGAGCUUUUUCACAACAUGGUGACCUUCCCAUACCUUUUUUUCUUCUUCUUCUUCCUGUUUUUUUUUUGGUUGUGUGUAGAUCUUAUUUUUUGAUGUCUUGAUAUAAACUCUUCUACAUAUAUAUAUUCACAUAUCAAAAAGUGGUAUAAAUUGAUCAAGUGUGUGUUCUUAUUAUUUUAUAUAUACUGGGGGUUGGCUUUUAGCGAGGGUUUUGGCUCAAAGGGUAUAAAGGGAUUAAGUUGUUUUUUUGCGUAGUGGAAGAGGAUUGAAGCAUUUGGUGGGGCACUUGGAUUUUGGGUUUGGUUGAAGGUUCAAAGCUUUGGUGUAUAGUUUAUAUAGGGUAUUGACUUAAAGCUAGAGAGGGAUAUAUACACACACAUAUAUAUAUAUAUACACAAUUGCUUCUAGAUGAUAGGGAGGAGAGAGAGAGAGAGAGUUGAACUUAUAAUUGCUUCUAGAUGUGAGUUGGUGGGAUGGAUUUGAAUGAGUAGUGUAUGGUGGCCUUUCGUUUUGGUACAAUAAGUGAGAAGCUUGACAUAUAUGGCAUCAUGGUCUUUUGAGACGUUUUUUGAUAAACAUGACAACAAUUUAAUUAAUAUUUUAUUGCUGCAAAAAUAGUAUCAAAUAAAAUUAUCUUAUUGGUACAUAAUCGCUCCUUUAUAAUACAUAAAUUCAAAAUGAUUGACCAUUUUUGGUUUAUCUUCACUUUUUCCUUUGCAUUUAAAACGAUUUUCAUAUAUCAUAUAUAAUACUAACCUUUGUUUUCAAGAUACUACUGCGUACAUUUAGUGUUUGACAAAUCGUCAUUUAGAUCCGGUAGAUUACAUUUUUAUUUUUGCUUGUUUUAAUCGCAUGAUCAAGUUUGUAAAUUUGUUAUAAAAGUAGGAGAGAAGAAAAAAUAAUUACUUAUGAAAAAACUGAAAGUUUGUCAAUGGCUUUUACCGUCAUAUAUUGGCCCAAAUAAAAUUAUAAUAUAUAAAUAAGAAAGGGAUUCUUAAAAAAUUUGGUAGCAAAUAGCAAUAAUGAAGAGGAGGGAUAAUUAAGUUGUGGAGGUUGGUGGUAAAGUUAAUAAGUGAUUUUGUACAAGUAAAGGUCAACUAUAGGCUGUGUGGUUUGUACUGGUCAACUGCAUUAGGUUAAUUAUUGUUUUUUCAAUUAAUAACAUACAUAGAUCUUAACAAAGCAUUAUUAAACAACUAAUUAUGUGUGGGCAGGGCAUGAUUAACACAAAUAUAUGUGGUACAUAUGGUUUUAAAAAUUUGUCUCAAAUGACAAAGCACUUCGUGUUUAGAAUAUUUGUGAUAAUGGGCAUGCUUCUUUUAUAUGUCCGUAUGAAAACUAUACAACAAGAACCACCAAAACAGUAUAUAUAUAAAGAAAAUUGUGAAUUAAAGAAUGUGCCUUCUAGAAACUUGACUAGGAAUGUGGUUUUACCUUACCAACUUCUUAACAGUUUUUUAAUUAGAGACUUGAGGACCAAGACUUAACAAAUGUUCUCGGGGUAGUUUUAACCUUUAAAUGGACUGAAAUAUAAUCGUAUGUAUCACGUAUACGUUUUUGUAGAAUAAGAUAAGUUGAUAACACUAAUCCUUGAUUCCAUUUCCAUCGUAUUAAUUUUUGCAACAUUGCUUUGAUUAUGUACGAAAAAUAGUAGAACGAUGGAAAACAUAACAGUAGUUAGUAGACGAAUAUAUUUAACUAUAUCUCUGUGUAUGUAUGCAUACCCGUAUGUUAAACAAAGAAGUUGAACGAAAAUGUGAAAUUUGGUAAGUUAGGUGGAAAAUUUGAGAAGAUUUUUAAAAAUGAAUGAUUAAUAAUAUUAUUGAAAAAAGACGGAAAAAAAACGAAAAAGAGAGAGUUGUUGAAUUUAAUUAUUUUAAUCUAUUGGUAUACAAUCACUCGUCUCAUGCAUGAUGAUGGCGCUCUUCUAGAAGAUUAGGUUCUCAGCUAAAGCCCAAUUAUUUCUUUAUAUCAGCAACAUUCACUUACAUUUGAAUCAAAUCAAACCCCAAAUUCACCAAGUACCCCAAUUAAUUGAAUUCUUGGUCUAUUUUCCUUACAGUUUGUUAAAUAGAGACUAGCUAGUAUUAAUUGUUUAGGAAAACCAAAUGCAUAAACACUACUUUAUCCUUGACAGGAAAAAAAAUACCACAUGCAAUGAUUCAAAGAGCGUUAUAAAAUAUAAACACAAUGGAAAUAAAUUAGUCGUUCUGGUGAAUUAUUCUUUCUAUAUAUGUUUUUUUUUUUGUAAUAGAAAAACACUUGUUAUUACUGAUGGCAUUUUAAAUGACGUGGACGAUAUAGCGAUGUGUGAUGAUAUAACAAUAGUAAUUUUUGUGUCUUUGUCAAAUAUAAUAUAGAUGCCUUAUAAUAUACUAAUUAAUUUGUCAUUUUCUUGAAAUGAUAUAUAUUUAAGAGUUGGAUAUAUAAAUUAUUUAGGUCCGUAAGCCGUUGGGGACGUGGGAUUUGGUUCACCUUCCACUUUUAUUUUUAUUUGUUUUAUUAUCUAUUCAUUAAUUUGUUUGAUAUUUUGAUUUAAGUUUGCAUAUUAUGAAAUCCGAUUGUUUCAUUAAAUUAAAGCAUUGCAAUGGACUCUGUGAAUGCUAACACAAUGUGAACUUUGCCCAGUGCUCUGAACAUUAAAGUGAAUAAAUUUAACUAAGGACGGAUUAAAACGGUGGAAGUAACUAUGACUGAAGAAAAAAAACAGAAAAACUUGGUCGUUGCGUGAUAUACUUUUAUCACAAGGUAAUGGUAUAUUUUAUUGACAAACCCCCCCCCCCCCCCCCCCCAAAAAAAAAAAUUUGUAACAAUUGUGAUAAACUAGUAUAGGAUUCCACUUAAUUGUAACGAGAAGAGUAAGAUACUACUAUUAUCUGUUUUGCUUGCGAGACGUGAAAAAAAGGUGGAUGGUUGGUGACGGUGGAGGAUUAAUUACAAUAAAUAAAUGGUCAAAGUCACUCGUAUCUACUUGUAUAAAUACAUAGUAGAUAUAGUGGAUAUAUAGAGAUAGAGAGUGAAGGUAUUUAACUGUGCUAUGCCUACUCUUUAUUAGUUGAGAAUCUCAUUUCUUUGCUAAACGGCUAAAGCCUUUGAUUAUUUGUCGUUAAUAUCUUCAAACGGUAAUGAAAAUGUGUCCUACAGAACCACUAGUUCAGAAAAAGGAGAUUAAAAAAAAAUACAGUAGACCAAGUCAACCGAAAUCAAUUAGGACAAUAUUUCGGGGGAGAUGAGAUUGAGUUUGACGGAUAAACCAGAUCUGUUAUCCAUGCAAUCUAUAUAUAUUUUGUUCGAAAAUGAUCUUAUCGGUGUUACGCAUCACAAAGAGGCCACGCAUGUGACAAAUUUGAAGCAAAUCCAUAUUAAUUUUGUUUACCAAAUAGUUUCGAAAGAUAAAGAAAAACGCUCAUAACGUGGGGUUAGGACUUAGGAGCAAUUCACAAGGGUCUGCAUGCAGUUUUUAUGAUUGAUAUUCUAGCUUCCCCUAUGUUCAAGUUUUCUUUGAUGUGGAACUGAUUUUUACCAUCAUGCAACGACAACACGUCUAUGAGUGGGACGGGAGGCCCUCAAAGUGACUAAGAGAAAAACAUAUAUAGAAGCUGUAAAGAAUUUUACAUUAAAAUAGCAGACGGUGACUAACAAAAAAACAUUAAAAACCAUCUAUUGUGGAUUUUAGAAGAGGAACAUAAAGUACUAGAUCAAAAGAAAAUUCUAAACUGUGAGUUUUGUAAGGAGCUAUGAUAGUUGUGAAUUGUGACUUGUGAGAAGGUAGAGUCAAAUAUAAGAAAGUGAAGCUUUAUAAUUUCUAAUGGGCUUUAAACCGUGGAUGCUUGCAGAGCUCAGUAACUGAUAGACGGGCCCGGCCACACAUCUUUUGGUCGGUAAUUUAAUUGUCUAAAUACUGUAUGUAGGUCGUAUAUUUAUAAAAAUUUUUUUAUAAAACUCCAUGGUUUUUUAUUAUAUUUUAAAAUAGACGAAUAUUGUGUGAAAUUUAGAUAAAAAACUAAGGUGAUAAAAAAACUGCAAUGGUGUAUAUAUCUUGCUGCAAAAAAAAAAAAAAAUAGAUACCAUAAGUUAUUUCAUUUGAUAUAUGGUGUUUUGUUAUAUCAUCAAAGAUUGAAAAGACCAGUAUAUCAUUCAUAUAAAAAUAAAUACAAAUGUUGGAAAAAGAAUGAAUAUGUCUAGUAGGCGUCAUAAAGCGCUGGACCGGACAAGGAAGAGAAAGACCGAAGACGGCGAGCAGACCAAAACCAAAUGUUGUGAAACGUUGUCGUAUGAGCUUCAAUGGAGUAAACGAAUCACACGUAGCGGAAGGAUCCUCCCCCCCGUGUCCAAAAACAAAAAGCCGCAAGGAGGAAAACGGUAUCGUAUUCGCUUCGCUUCGCUUUCUAUUAUAUUUUGAUUUUCUGCAGAAGCCCUUUUUUUUUUUUGUCUACGCUUCUCCUCCAUUUUUAUUUUUAAUUUUUGGUUUGGUUUCUUCUUCCCCAACUCGAUUCGAUUUAGGGUUUCCUAAUCGAUCCUCCUUAGCUCCCCUCUCGAUUCCGAUCUCUUUGUUGAUUUCGUAAUUCGCGUCGUGAUUUUUCGACUAGCUGUGGAGGUUCUUCUGGGCUGUGAUUUCCCGUCGACGAUUCCGCUGGCAAAUUAGGGUUUUCGAUGCGAGCGAGUGUCCGAUCAGAAUCUCUCUGAUCGAGCAAAUCCCAAACUCGGGGUUUCUUCCUUUGUAUGGAAACUCGGAGCCGCAAGCGUGCGGAGGCGACCUCAACUGCCCCAUCUUCUUCUUCUUCCUCACCUCCUCCCUCAGGUCCCACCACCCGCAGCAAACGCGCCCGCCUUUCGUCUUCCUCUUCCUCCUCUGUCACCACCCGCUCUCGUUCUUCUCGCUCCGUCGCUACUGCUUCUGCUGCUCCCGCUCCCAUGGACACCUCCACCGAGUCUUCUGGUCUUCGCCGAGGCGGACGAGGUAAUAGGGGAAACAACGACAACACUAAUUCUGACAAGGGUAAGGAGAAGGAGCAUGAUGUUAGGAUUCGGGACAGAGAAAGAGAAAGAGACCGUGCCAGAGAACAGCUCAACAUCGAUGCUGCUGCCGCUGCCGCCGCCGCCGCCGACGACGAUGACGACAAUGACAGUGAGGAUGGCAACGGCGGAUUCAUGCAUCCUAACAUGAGCUCCGCCAGCAGUGCUUUACAAGGUCUACUGAGGAAGCUUGGAGCUGGAUUGGAUGACUUGCUUCCUUCCUCCGGUAUCGGCUCUGCUUCUUCUUCCCACUUAAAUGGGAGGAUGAAGAAGAUACUCUCUGGCUUGCGCUCCGAUGGUGAAGAGGGCAAGCAGGUCGAGGCUUUAACCCAGCUCUGCGAGAUGUUAUCCAUUGGGACCGAAGACUCCUUAAGCACCUUCUCUGUUGAUUCCUUCGUCCCUGUUCUCGUUGGUCUACUAAACCAUGAAAGCAAUCCCGACAUUAUGCUUCUUGCAGCCAGGGCUCUUACCCAUCUAUGUGAUGUCUUGCCGUCUUCUUGUGCUGCCGUUGUACAUUACGGUGCUGUUUCAUGCUUUGUCGCCAGAUUGCUAACCAUUGAAUACAUGGACUUGGCCGAGCAGGUUGGCUAUCCCAUCAAAACUUUGAAAUUUUUUUUGCUGAAUUUUUGAUUUAUUUAUUUUAAUUCUAAAAUCAGAAAUGAUAUAAUAUAAUGUUGUCAAUCCUCAGAUGGUUUAUGCUGCUUUUGAAUUAGAACUCAGGCAGUUGCUACACAUAUCCAGUGUUUUAUUUUGCUCACGGACCAAAAACCUGACUUGUAUUCUAAAUUUGUUACAACAGUCUCUGCAAGCUCUUAAAAAGAUAUCUCAGGAGCACCCAACUGCUUGUUUGCGAGCUGGCGCUCUUAUGGCAGUGCUCUCAUAUCUGGAUUUCUUCUCCACUGGCGUCCAGGUGGGUAAUUUUUUAACUUCUCUUUUAUGUUUUAUCUUCACGUGUAUCUAAUGCCCAUAUUGCUUGGCUUCUUGUAGCGUGUAGCUCUAUCUACUGCUGCAAAUAUGUGCAAGAAAUUACCUUCAGAUGCAUCUGAUUAUGUCAUGGAAGCUGUACCAUUACUGACGAACCUACUUCAGUAUCAUGAUUCGAAGGUAAUAUACUUUCUUUUCGUUAUAUUAUGGUAUUAUCUUUUUUUCCGGUCUUGCCCCGGUUUCCUCCAUAAUUUGUUCGUAUGGUGGCAGGUUUUGGAAUAUGCUUCUAUAUGUCUGACUCGGAUUGCUGAAUCAUUUGCAUCAUACCCUGAGAAAUUAGAUGAAUUAUGCAACCAUGGCCUGGUGACUCAAGCUGCGUCUCUUAUAUCCACUAGUAAUUCAGGAGGUGGACAAGUAUCUCUCGGGGUUUCAACAUACACGGUAUGAGUAAAUUCUUUUGUGUAUUCUAUUUAUCUUUAUUCACAAGAUGACACUCUCACCAUAUUACGCACAGGGGUUAAUCCGAUUACUUUCCAUCUGUGCAAGCGGGUCACCUCUUGGAUUCAGGACAUUACUUCUUCUCGGUAUUAGUAGCAUUCUUAAGGAUAUUCUGUUGGGUUCUGGUGUCUCUGCUAAUGCAUCUGUAUCCCCAGCACUGAGCAGGCCUGCAGAUCAGGUACUGAAAAUAAUGUUUGUUCAAUUACCUGAUUAUAUAGUACUCGCUUUUAUAAAAAUGGUAUAAAGUGAGAUGGAUAGGCGAAACAUCUACAAAUUGAUCACUUGGAUUUGGGAUAAAUUUUCUAUUUCAGCUUUAAUUUCCGCAUUUUGUUUGCCGUAUUUUGCUUAGGUUUUUUUUUUAAUAGUGGAUAGUUCAUAAUCUAUGUACUGGUAUUUUGAGCUUUAUUUUAUGUUGGAGCAGAUGGCUCGAUUCCUAUGCUUGUUUUCUGGUCUUAUGUUAGAGGUGGUAUAGAGAGAAGAGCUUUAUCAUUGUGCUUUGUCUGGUUUAUUUGGUUUCUAGCCCCUGGACCGCUAAUUCUUAAAUUUAUUGUUUUGAGAAAUAUUCUCAAUUAUAACUUCUGUUUUGUAUCUUAGAUUUUUGAGAUAGUCAACCUAGCGAAUGAGCUUCUCCCUCCGUUGCCAGAAGGAGUUAUCUCCCUUCCUACUGGCACAAACACUUUGGUGAAAGGUUCAGGUCAAAAGAAAUCUUCUCCAAGUACUUCAGGAAAACAAGAAGAUGCUCUAAAAGUCUCACCUAGAGAAAAAUUACUUGGUGAUCAACCUGAACUUCUGCAGCAAUUUGGAUUAGAUCUUCUUCCAGUUUUAGUGCAGGUAAUUUUUUUUCUUUCAUUUGCUACAAAAUAAUGUUCAUACUACCUUUAUGUCUAACCGUCCUUACUUUCAUUCCAACAGAUUUAUGGUUCUAGUGUGAAUGGUACUAUUCGCCACAAAUGUCUCUCAGUUAUCGGAAAGUUGAUGUAUUUCAGCACUUCAGAUAUGAUUCAAUCUCUAAUUGGUGACACAAAUAUAUCGAGGUUCGUUAUUUAUGAUUAAAAUUAUGUUUGGCAUGGCAGUGGGUGCAACUUCUUAUCUUUUUUUUUUUCCUAUGUAGCUUCUUGGCUGGUGUUUUGGCAUGGAAAGAUCCACAAGUCUUGGUUCCUGCUCUACAAGUUGCAGAAAUUCUGAUGGAAAAGCUUCCUGAAACAUUCUCGAAAGUGUUUGUGAGGGAAGGGGUGGUUCAUGCUGUAGAUCAACUUGUCUUGGUUGGUAAACCUAUUUCUCAUGCUUCACCUACUGAUAAGGAAAAUGACUGUGUGCCUGGAUCUGCACGAUCUAGGCGUUAUAGACGGCGAAGUAGUAAUCCCAGUUCUGAUGGAAAUCAGUCGGAAGAGCUCAAGAAUUCUGCGUCCGUUAACAUAGGUGCAAACCAUAAUUCCGUGGAUACUCCUACAGCUAGCUUCAUGUUAAGGGAAACAGUUAGCUCCUGUGCCAAAGCAUUCAAAGACAAGCACUUCCCGUCUGAUGGUGGGGAUCUUGAUGUUGGAGUUACUGAUGAUCUCUUGCAUCUGAAGAAUCUUUGCGCGAAGCUAACUGGUAGUAUAGAUGAUCAUAAAGUGAAAGGAAAAGGAAAAUCUAAAGCCUCUGGGCCAUGCCUUGGAGAUUUUUCUGCUAGCAAGGAAGAGUACUUGACUGGUGUCAUUUCUGAGAUACUUGGCGAGCUAAGCAAAGGGGACGGUGUCUCAACUUUUGAGUUUAUUGGCAGUGGUGUGGUUGCAGCAUUGCUUAACUAUUUUUCUUGUGGAUACUUUUCCAAAGAGAAGAUCUCCGACUUCAAUUUGCCUAAACUUCGCCUGGAGGGGCUAAGAAGGUUCAAAGCUUUUCUAGAAGUCGCACUUCCUUCUGAUGGUAAUGAGGGAAAGAUCCCUCCUAUGACAGUUUUGAUUCAGAAACUUCAAGAUGCUUUAUCUUCACUGGAACGCUUUCCCGUCGUCCUUAGCCAUCCCUCAAGGUCACUAAGUGGAAGUGCUCGUCUUUCAUCUGGAUUGAGUGCUUUGGCACAUCCUUUAAAGUUGCGAUUAUGCCGUGCACCUGGAGAGAAGACACUACGUGAUUACUCCUCCAAUAUUGUUCUUAUAGAUCCAUUGGCAAGCAUAGCAGCAGUAGAGGACUUUCUCUGGCCCCGAGUUCAACGCAGUGACUCUGCUACGAAGACAGCAGCGCCUGCUGGAAAUACAGAGCCAGGCACGGUACCUAGCGGUGCUGGUGUUUCAUCACCAUCCUCGUCAACUCCAGCCUCCACCACUCGUCGUCAUUCUUCUAGAUCUAGAUCAGCAAUUAACAUAGGUGAUACCUCAAAGAAAGAACCUGUGCAUGAGAAAGGUUCCAGCUCAUCGAAAGGUAAAGGUAAAGGUGUUAUGAAGCCCGCUCAGGCGGAUAAGGGGCCUCAAACAAGGAGCAGUGCUCAAAGGAGAGCUGUUCUUGACAAAGAUACACAAAUGAAACCAGCUAGCGGAGACUCCAGCUCUGAGGUAUGCUAUUGUACAAAGUUUUGGAUUCCAUGAUUAUUUAAUUGUGUUAUGUCUUUUGAUGUUUGUGGGGUGCUUACUCAGCACUAUCUUACUUAUAUGCCUUGCAGGAUGAGGAAUUGGAAAUAUCCCCUGUCGACAUUGAUGAUGCCUUGGUGAUUGAAGAGGAUGACAUUUCUGAUGAAGAAGAUGAUGAUAAUGAAGAUGUAAGUAUUCCUUCACUUUUUAACCAAGUAUGUACAUUACACCCGGCAGUUAUUUCUCUUGCUAACAACACGAAAGAUAUUACGUUUGGCAAUAAUGAUUGCCAGCUUCCAUAUCUUUGGAUUAUUUUGCCAUGUUGAAACGAACCGCAUUCAUUUGGAAACUUUUCUCUUGGAAUUUCUAGCUUAAUACCAUUAUUUCUCUUAUUUAUCUAGAUGAAAUCGUUAUAGCUUUGUGGUCUGAGCUUCUAUAAUAACUUCACAAUCAUAUAUACACAUUUAUUUCCAGGUGUUGGAUGACAGUCUUCCCAUGUGCACACCUGAUAAAGUGCAUGAUGUAAAAUUGGGAGACGCAGUGGAUGAUGACGGUGCUGGUCUGGCAACUAGCGGCCGACAGAUGAAUCCAGCUUUGGGAGGCACUAGUGGAGCUGCAGCAGCACGGGGAUCUGAUUCUACUGAUGCUGGCAUUGGGAAUUCUUACGGUUCUAGGGGUGCACUCUCCUUUGCUGCUGCGGCGAUGGCUGGGCUUGGAGCUGCCAGUGGUAGAGGUAUCAGGGGAAGUAGAGAUCUGCAUGGGCGUACCCUACAUCGAAGUUCCGAUGAGCCCUCUAAGUUGAUAUUUACUACAGGAGGAAAGCAACUUAGUAGACAUUUGACGAUUUAUCAGGCUGUGCAGCGACAACUUAUGCUAGAUGAUGAUGAUGAUGACAGGUUCGGUGGCAGCGAUUUCAUCUCAAGUGAUGGAAGCAGAGUCAAUGAUAUUUACACCAUCAUGUACCAGAGGCCGGAUAGCCAAGCAAAUAGGUUGUCUGUUGGUGGAGCAAGUUCUACCACACCAUCAAAAUCCACUAAAUCGGCUACGAGCAAUUCUAGCCUAGAAUCUCAGUCAUGUAGGGCAUCUCUUUUGGAUAGUAUCUUACAAGGGGAGCUUCCGUGCGACCUUGAGAAGUCAAACUCUACAUAUAAUGUUCUGGCGCUCUUGCGUGUUUUAGAGGGUUUAAAUCAGCUUGGCCCUCGGUUAAGAGCCCAAACUGUUUCUGAUCGUUUCGUAGAGGGUAAAAUUACUAGUCUAGAUGAUCUGAAUACAGCUGUUGCUAAGGUUUCUCAUGAAGAAUUCAUCAAUAGCAAACUUACACCCAAACUAGCUCGACAGAUCCAGGAUGCGCUUGCUUUGUGUAGUGGAAGUCUCCCCCCUUGGUGCUACCAGUUAACUAGAGCAUGCCCUUUUUUGUUUCCGUUUCAGACCCGUAGACAGUAUUUUUAUUCAACUGCUUUUGGGUUAUCCCGUGCAUUGAAUCGCUUGCAGCAGCAACAAGGUGCUGACGGCAGUGGGUCUACCAAUGAACGAGAGAUGAGAAUAGGGAGAUUGCAGCGCCAGAAAGUCCGUGUAUCCCGAAAUAGAAUAUUAGAUUCUGCAGCGAAAGUUAUGGAGAUGUAUUCUAGCCAAAAAGCUGUGCUUGAAGUAGAAUAUUUUGGUGAAGUUGGUACUGGUCUAGGACCUACACUUGAGUUUUACACACUCCUAAGCCAUGAUCUACAAAAGGUUGCACUUGGGAUGUGGAGAUCAAAUUCUGGCGACAAGGUAUCAAUGCAAAUUGAUAGAGAUGAGAUUGAAGACGGGAAAUCAUCUGCAGCUAGGGACGGAGAUAUAGUUCAGGCACCACUUGGGUUGUUUCCUCGACCUUGGCCCUCAACAGCUGACGUAUCUGAAGGUAGUCGUUUUCAUAAAGUCAUUGAAUAUUUCCGGCUCUUGGGGCGUGUGAUGGCAAAAGCACUUCAAGAUGGACGGCUAUUGGACGUCCCAUUGAGUACAGCGUUUUAUAAGCUUAUUCUUGGUCAAGUGAGUUUUUUACUAUUCAGUAAUGUUUUUUUUGUUUAGUUGAGAGUGAAAUAGUGGUUUCUACUUCUUCACUUUUGUUUUUAAUUUCCUCGGUUCUUUUCCUCACUUACGCAGGAGCUUGAUUUGCACGAUAUUAUGUUAUUUGAUGCUGAACUCGGCAAGACUUUGCAAGAGUUUCGUGUUCUUGUUGGCCGCAAGCACUAUCUGGAGGCAAUAGGUGGUGACAAUUGCAGCGCGAUUUCUGAUUUAAGUUUACGUGGAUCUCGUAUAGAAGAUCUAUGCUUGGACUUCACGCUACCUGGCUAUCCUGAAUACAUUCUGAGAUCAGGAGAUGAAAUUGUACUGUCUUAUAGCUUACAUCCCACGUCUUACUAUUCUUUUACUCCCCGUCCAUGAUUGCUGAUGCCGUGCUCUCUGUUACAGGUUGAUAUGAAUAGUCUUGAGGAGUAUAUAUCCCUGGUCGUUGAUGCUACUGUCAAGAGAGGAGUUGCCCGGCAGAUUGAAGCCUUUAGAUCUGGAUUUAAUCAGGUUUGCUGUUUCGCAGAGACUCUGCUGUGUGUCUCUCUCUUUUCUUGUUGCCUUGUAAAACAAUAUAGAAAGAGUGAUCUCUGUUGAGUAGAGACUUCUGUUGUCUUUGUUUUAGACUGACCGCAAACUUUUCUCUGCAUUUUCAUCCUUAUAAAACCUGUGUGUUAAUGCGCAUAAUUCUCAGGUGUUUGACAUAACAUCUCUACAAAUAUUCACCCCUUCUGAGCUGGACUACUUGCUAUGUGGUCGUAGAGAGUUGUGGGAGGUGAUUUUUCAACUUUAUAGUUCCCCAUACCCAGUAGAUGUGAUUCCAUUAGAUAUAUAACUGCAUUACUGAAACCUUGUUUUCUUGCAGGCGGAGACUCUAGCUGAACAUAUUAAGUUUGAUCACGGUUAUACUGCCAAAAGUCCGACAAUCAUUAAUGUAUGUUGUUAAUCUAUCCGUUUAUUGAGUUGUUAUACAGUCAGGUUUUUAUCCGUUUAUUGAGUUGUUAUACAAUCAUUAAUGUAUGUUGUUAAUCUAUCCGUUUAUUUCUCUAUACAAUCAGCUUUUGCUUUUUUGCUUGUGUACUCUGUUGAUUCAUUUCUGACCCUGAUUUUCAUGCUCACUGUAGUUACUGGAGAUCAUGGGAGAGCUUACAGCGGAUCAACAGCGGGCUUUCUGUCAAUUUGUAACUGGAGCUCCUAGGCUUCCUCCGGGUGGUCUAGCUGUUCUGAACCCAAAGCUGACGAUUGUCAGAAAGGUAAGAAAUCUUUACUUAAUGUAUUCGGCUGAAAAGAGCCAUUUUUGUGAUUCAGACAUGAAGCUUAUUAUCAGAAUGCAUCUAUCUUAUCUAUGCGUGGUGAUCUAUGGGCUUUUUCCAAGAGGAGCAGACACAUUGUGGUGUUUUUCAGAUGAAUUAAGUCAUUACUUUCGUGUAGUUGCUGUGUCUUUCACUGUUUUUAUGGGAUUCUAAAACUUGCUGUGUCUUUGGGGGUGGUGCAGCACUCAUCAACCUCAAGUGCGGCAGCCAACGGAACAGGGGCUUCGGAGACGGCAGACGAUGAUCUUCCCAGUGUAAUGACUUGCGCCAACUAUCUUAAGCUCCCUCCUUAUUCUACAAAGGUGAGUCAUAUGUCACUUUUUGUCUUUUAAGUCCAUGUUUUCGUGGUGGUUGUUUGUAAAGCCUGAGGAGGAUUAUUUGUACCUGAAACAGGAAAUCAUGUACAAGAAACUUCUCUACGCCAUCAACGAAGGGCAAGGAUCGUUCGACCUGUCAUAAGCAUUUUCUGUUGAGGCUAUAUGUUAUAAGAUCUGAAAAAAAAAUAGUGGCAUGUGUUUAUUAUUACUACAAUUUUUUCUUAACUAAUGACAUCUUUAGUUAAAAAUAUAAGAUGUAAAAAUUUAUGGAUCAAGAUUUUAGGUGGGGUCUUUACUGAAAAUUAAGGAUUAGAGUUGCGGUUAUAACGACAAAAAAAAGGGUUGGGGUUAUAAACUAAUUUAUUCCAUAUUAAGCCCACUAGAAACUAUGAUUUAUGGGCUUUCAAAAGUUCACUAUUGGCCCAUAAUAUAGCUUAAUGGGCGUACAGAGAUUUUAACAGCAUGUGGAUCUGCGAAUUAUGGGCCUUAAUAAACUAAUUUAUUCUUCGUUCAGCCCAUUAGACCUAUUAUAUAUGGUCUUUUAAAGGUUCGCUACUGGGCCUGUAGUUUAAUAGGCCUACUACAGAUAGUUUAAACCGUUUGUGGGUCCACAAAAUAUGGGCCGUAAUAAACUAAUUUAUUCUUCGUUAAGCCCAUUAUAAUUAUAUUAUAUGGGCUUUGAUCGUUAAUGGGUCAUUAUGUUGGUUCAAUAGGCCUACAACUAUUUUCACGAAUUGUGGGUCCACGAACUAUGGGCCUGAACUUGGUAUUUUUCGCCAAGCCCAUUAGACCUAUUGUAUAUGGGCUUUAAAAAGUACGAUAUUGGGCCAUUAUGUAGUUGAAGGCCUACUACAGAAAUUUUAAACAGCUUGUGGGUCCACAAAAUAUGGGCCGUAAUAAACUAAUUUAUUCUUCGUUAAGCCCAUUUCAGUUAUAUAAUAUGGGCUUUUAAAAUUCAUUAUUGGGCCAUUAUGAGGUUGAAUAGGCGUACAACUAUUUUCACAAAUUGUUGGUUCACGACUAUGGGCCUUAACUUAGUAAACUAAUUUAUUCUUUGCCAAUUAGAUUCAAAUAUUAAUUCAAUACAUAUAAGCAGUGAUUUCAAAUCCCGAGGUUAAUCGUACUCUGGCUUUGAAAACAAAAAAGGAAAGUACCAAAUUAUAGUUUAUUGGGAUCGGUUUGUUGGGAUUUAAAGAGUUGACAAAUCCUGAAAAUCUUGUAAAAAAUGUGGCGAUGUAAAGUUAAAAUCUAAUAAUAAUAUAUAAGGGAUUAAAGAAAAAGCGAGAGACGAAACAAAAGUCAUACAUAUCGUAAGACAGAGAGAAUAAUAAGAGUUGCUCUUCAUCAGUCUCAUAAAAUCUCUCUAUCAAACCAAAGAGACGAGAGAAAUUUUAUUGAGAGCCAUUGAUGAUAUGUCUUCUUCCCCUUCUUCAUUUCUUCUCAUCCUCACCUUUGCUACUACUCUCUUCCUCCUCGUUACGCUGCAUUUUUUUUUUUGUUUUAAACAUUAUACAUUAUCAGACUUGUAUAUCAAAUGACAAAACAUGCAAAAACCAAUGAAGCUACGCACCUUUGAUUCGUCUGGCAGAGACGCUAGCAGCGCUUUAACCGCCGGAUCAUUUGGAUCUACCCCUGGAAGCUGUGCGUUCACAAACAGUUAGGACAAACUAACGCUACUAAGCUAUUCUCUUUCAUUUUGCUUGUAAAAAUCCUGACUUUGACUUAAGUAGAAGCUUACCGAUGAGAGAACAGAUGAUAUGAAAGCUUGAUCUCCUAAGAGGUUUCCAGCACCUGUAGCUUCACUUGACUCCUCCCCACUCAUUGACAUUUGCAGAGCUGCACAUAAAGGAUCGAGCCAAAAUAUAAGUGUCUGUCUUUCAUCAAAACACCUAAACACCUAAAGGUAUCAAACUUUUCUUGCGAAGGAAUGGCAGUCAAAAUGCUUUUACCACAGCUCUACUCACCUAAAGCCAAAUCCUGGUCCUCAUCCGCCGCUUCUGACAUGUUUACAUCACCUACCGACAUAGCAAUUGCCUGAUCUAGCAAUGCGUUGUCCUCAUCCUGCCACAGAAUUUAUGGUAAAAUAAGAAAAUUGUAUGAUAAACAAUUUGUGCCUGUGGCUAUAUAAGAAUGCCAUACUCAACAUAACGACUAACCAUUGGUUCAGCAUUCUUCUCAGUUGUCCUAGCAACCGUCUCCUGUGAGGCAGAAGCUGUAUCUCCGUCUUUGUCUUUCUGUCCUGCCUCAUCCGCUGCCUUCUUAGCAGCAGCCUCUUGCCUUGCUCUCUCCUCCUCCAUGGAAACGCGAAGGGCGAGAGCAAGCUCUGGAUCGAUAUUUGGAUCCACACCAAAGUCAAAGUCCCCACCUGCGGCUGCCGCAGCAGCUGCCGCAGAAACAUACCCACUUGCACCCUCAUCACCAGUGAAUACAGGUGUGCUGAAAGAAAAUUUUUACGAAGAUAAUUUAAACUAGAGAAAACGUGGUAACAACACUUGUCUAGAUAACACAAGCAGAUAUAAACAAUGUUCUUUUUAAUUUUGUAGUUUUGAUAUAAAUCAAGACACCGGAGCUCAAAGACCUAAACCAAACCCAUGCAAUGCCCUUGUCAACCUGGAUAAUGUUUGAACUCUACCAUUUAUAAUCUACAUACAGGCCUGUCAAAGUUUAGGUAAGGAAGAAAAUGUAUUCUACCUGAGCAGCACAUCUGAGAGGGCAUUGGCUCCAGAUGGAACAUGGACAAUGUGGCUACCGUCGUUGUUAUUCACAGCUGUCAAGAGGGCCUCCAGUUUCUGAGGCUUUUCCUCAUCAUCAUCUUCUCCAAAAUUGACAAUGUCAAGAGAGACACUAUUCUUUUUGAGCCUUUUCCCAACUAUCUCCAAGGCCUUCUUUUCAUACUUGAUUGGACUAUAAAUUAAAGCAUAAGGAAGUAAAUAAAAAUAUAAAAAGAAAUAAGAGAACUAUACAAAAAUGCUAUUCACACAAGAAAUUCAGUACCUUCCAGCAAAAACAAUAAUCCUUUGGCGUUGAUUCUUGUUUUGCCGAUGCUUAAGAGCUAGCUGAGCAAUCUGGAUCGCUGCUGUUAAGUUAAUCUCUCCUCCCACAUCGAGGCCUAAAAAGAUGGUGAAAGUAGAAACACUGAUGUCAAUGAUUCCUAGAAAGAAAAUCAGAACCUAAACGAUAGCAAAACUAGGCCAAUUUACAAUUGCUUUCAAUAGACUUACCGUGCAUACACGCCAAAAUUUUGCCAAGAUCAGAGGUAGGCGUUGUCAAAACUCUAACUCCUUUCCCUGCCAUAGUCAAAAUCCCCACCGUAUUCUCCGGAUUCGACUGCAAUUGAAAACGAACGAACCCUAAAAUCAAAACCAAAAAAAACCCUAAUCGAAUCCAGAAGAAAAGAACGUUGAUAACUCUCAAUUUACCUGGGUUUUCGCCCCGCAUAGAAGAUUAACAGCUUCCGUUUGAGCCUGUAACCUAGACGGAGAGUAAUCUCCGUUUCGCAUCCACUCGGAGUUAUCGAUGCAUAUCAUAGUCGCCUACGCACAAACAACCAGAAAACAACCAUCCAACUUAGUAAUAAAUCAAGAAUCAAGCAAGGGAUCGACGAAGAAAUCGAAAUACUCAAAUCAGAAGCAGAUGUAAUUCGAAAAUCACCUCGAGAACCAUUGUGUCGAAAAGUAGAGAGAGAGAAGCCUUCGAUUUGUGUCGUAGAGAGAAAGUCAGGCACUUGUUAUUUCUUCUUCUUCUCCGAUUUAUUUAUUUAGACUCACCCAUUCGAAGCGUGGCCCAUAUGUUUCUUUAAUAGGCCUUCAUAUUUUUACCUUUCCUCUCUUAACGCCCUAAUAUUUUAUGUUUUUUAGCCACAAAUAUUCGACGGGAGCAAUUUAGCCCACAUUGGUGUUUAUUAACAUUACAAAAAAGGGGCGUUCUGUUACCUUUAUAGAGAGAAAAAAACAGACACCUUACAAAACGUCAAUAUAAACCCCAAGAGACAAACGACCGUUCACCAGAUUCACUUACUCAGGAAUUUACAAUGGUGAAAAACUAAUGUCGAACAAAAAUAAAAGACAAAAACGGAUACAACAAGCAGAGACACUGGGGACAUCUUCUUCUAUGCAUUAAGAAAGAGCAUUUGGGAUGAGAGAAGAUCUAGUGCUUCUGCUAAUAGGCAAGUGGACAUAGACCUCGUGAACUUCCUGCUUACAAACAUCUCCUUUGUCUCGAUCAAUGGCGUAACAUACAUAAAUUGUGUCGAUCACAUUGUCAAGAACAUGUACAAAGAAAGCCAAGAUCACAAUCAGUAAGAGCCACGCGAGAAUAGCCACCAGGUACGAAUCUACACCCAAGUUGCUCACUCCUUUCAGAACAGCCCAUGUCUGGUUUUUGCGCACCAUCAAACCCAAAUAUUAGUAUCUCAGACAAAUAAAAGGUUUGGUUAGUGAGAAGCAGAAGUUUAUACUUACCGCGACUGCAUAUGCGGCUGAGAGGACAAAGACAAUACCGGUUAGGAUUCGGGUAGAAACUGUUUCGACAAAAACAGCUGAGAGAAGGUUGCGUCUUAAGAGUUCGUAAGUCAUUUUGGCAGAUGUGCAAUAGGCUUCGCCUGUUAUUGCAGCAAAGUUGAUGGUAAACUUGUUGAGAUAGUCAAGAGCUCCAAGUAAGGCGUUUGCGCAGCAACGGAGAACCAAGCUCAAUAUGCCUUGUGGAUUCUCUUCUCUUGCAUUGUCCACAAUGGCCCGGACAACACGAACAACGCAGAUGAGAGUUCCUGAGAGACAUAUUGUACCGAAGGAUUGGCCAAAGGCGUUCCUGAAGAGAUAGAGAGAUAUGAAAAAGAGUAAGGGUCGCACAUGAUUUGAUAGAAACCACAACAGAUUCAUACUAACACGGAUUUGGAUCCUCAAACUAGAAUCAAAUUUUUUCAGAGUUUACCACUGCAUUCCACCAUUCCAAAUAACAAACAAGAUCAGACAAAUUAAGGGAAACGAAACUAAAGGAAUCAAAAGAUAUUGUGGGGAAUUACCUCAAAGAACUCCGGAUGCAUUUUUUAGGAAUUAUGUCUUCCUUGGAGAAAUACCACUGAGCAAUAGCUCCACUUAUCACAUACACUUGCAUUUCCACCAUUACAGCAAGAGACCAGAGCAUAGUUAAAAUGGCAAGCGCGAAAUAGGCAGGAACCCAAGAAUCUUCUUUCCACUCACAAAAGUAUUCACCGUCCAGCUCCCUCGGCACGAACUUCCCAUUGAACCUUGCAAACACCAAGAACACCACAAUCGGCGCAUAGUAGACCACUAAGCCGAGGGUCAGCAAGGGCAACACAAGAAAAAGCUUCAAGUUUUUGGACAAGGCAUCUGAUGCAACACCGAUGAUUUGGAUGGUGAGCUCGAUUCUGUGCCAAUUAGCUACUAUGAUCCAGACAAUAAUCCCGAUGAUCAAGAAAACGAAGACUAGGACAAGGAUUCUGUAAGCCAGAGGGAGGGCAUCACUACAAGAAGAGCUAAGAGUACAAGCGACGAACCAAUAGAGAUUGAAAAAGAUGGGAAAUACGACAAAGAGAGGCAAACAAGCAUAAACUAUCUGCUUGGUGUAGUGUUUGAGCAAAAGGAGGAGGACAAAACACAAGGGCGCGCUUAAAAGUAGCGUCACAACAAGGGUCCAGAUCAAAUCUUUGUCAAAGACUGAAUCAGACGAAGGAAGCAUGGCGUACAUGACACUCGAAGAAGCCCCAUAGCUAUUGGAAACUCUAUUGAAGGUGGAGUUUUUGACGCAAGAGCUAGAGGCGAGAUCGUAGGAGAAGGAAGAGGAGCUGCCGUAAUCAGUAUUCCUAUGGAAGAUGGAGAAGAUACCGAAAGCGAAAGUGGAGAAGACGAAGAGAUCGAAGAGAAGAAGGAAAGGGAUGUCUUUGAAAGGUCUGGGGCCAAAGUUGAAGGAGAUCUGAAGAAACUGGGUCGGGUCAGAUUCAGGAUCACAUGGACGCGGAGAAUCGAGAGCGGACGUGGAGGGUUUUGAGAGAAGAGGGUGCGAGGGAGAGGAUGAGUCAUAGAUCGCACCGAAUUUGGUGGGGUCGCCGUCGUCCGCCGCCAUGGUCGACCAAAGAAAGAGAGAGAGAGAGAGCCCCGCCUCUGGAGUUGAGCUAAAAAGUGAAGAAGGUAGGAGAAGCAGAAGACGACGAGACUCGAAUUUGCAUUAAUCACUAAUAAUUAGUGACGACGACCACCGCCCAAGCGGCGAAGGGAAGAUGAUCGAUAACGAUCGCCACCACAACCAAAGUACUCACUCUGUCUCAAUUAGUAUAAGAUUCGUUGAUUUAAAACUAAAAUGUUUACGUUCAAAGGUAAUCUAAUGAACUAUUGCUAAAUGUUAUCUUCACUCCCAUUAAAGUAUUAGACAUUAGUUAUAGAUGUCUCUUUACCACAAUUUUUUUAUAAAGGAAAAAAAUAACACAAUAAUAUAAGACAAUGGAGAUCCAAAUCAAAUCCCCCAAAAAUACAUAAAUUCGAGACUCCAUACGAAAUGGGGCCUAACGAUGAAACGUGAUUAAACAGUCUGAUCCGAGCCCAUUGGGCGCAAUCUAUUAAAGCCCAAAGCGUCGCAUGCGAGAGGAAAUAUGGUCCCCCAAGGACCAAGGAGCGUGCACUUGAAAUAUGCAGGCGUGAGAGUUUUUUGUUUCUUAAUUUCUUCUCUUUUAUUUAUUUUUGGAGGGCAAGAAAUGGGAAGGAGUUGUUGGAUUAAAACUUGUAACCAAAGCAUCCUCCCGUGGCAAAGACAGUACUAAAGCGUAGCUCUAUAUAUAUAAAAAAAGGAAAGAAGCACGGGAAGCAUUGACACAGAACCCACUUCGCGUAUAACAACAUCAUCACGUGAACUCACUUAAUAGUUUUCUGACAUAUUGUUGUUCCCUCUCUGAUUCCGAUUCUACCAAAUAGGGAAUGGCGUAACCUCCCAUCCAAAUCAUAUCAAGACAAAUUGGUUUCAUCCCCCAACUAUUUAUAAUAUAUCCCUUUCCAAACUCAGGAUUUUGUGUUCUUGCAGCUUUUGAGUCAUGAGACAUUCUUCCAUGUCUGGUUUGGUUUUCUGGACCAUAUUUCUCCUCACCGCCUCCACUCAAGCUUAUUACGGUACGUAAUAUUAUACAGAAACGCUAAUAUACAUUUAUGUACAAGAUUUUAGCCUGAUAUACUAGGUGCUUUGUAUCUUCAUGUACAGACGGACCUUUCUACGAUUCUACUGCCUACACAGAGGUUUAAAGCUUUGGAUUAUUACAUAUAAAUAUAUAUAUAUAUAGUGUUAAAUACUGAUUUCUGAAAGAGAAAAAAACAAACACAACGGAAAUGAGCAGUGUAGAGCGGAACCAGAGAAGCCACUUUACAAUGGAGGGAUACUGAAAGACAAAGAACCUUCUGUGUCAGGCACAGACACUCUAAGGAGCGUUGGUACUCGUUACACGCCAGCUUACAUAUUGCACAAUCUCACGCAAAACACCAUCUAUUGCUUCUCCAGUUAAGUAUUCCAUCCUUGAUUAUCACUACCUAGAAUAUUGAUGUAAAUAUAUAUGAAGCAAUGUGACAAUCUGAAAGAGACUGAUAGAACAAAACACAAAUAAAAAAACAGUUUGGGUGAAGAUAGAGGAAGGAGGUGCUGCAUCAGCUCGUGUAAGAGCAAGGCUGAGAACAGAAAACGCCACUUUAAGCUGCGUUGGUUCAGUAUCUGCCAAAAAUGGUUGUUGGUCUUUCCUCAAAGGAGGCUUCCUUGCUCAUUCUCCUUCCCAACUAUCCAUACUCUUCUUUGAGGUCAAUUCCAUAUAUAUAGAUAUAUAUAUAUAUAUAUAUAUAUAUGCUCAACAGAUUUGGUUCAAAGAUUGUAAUUCUUUUCCUUUGGAUAGUGCAGACAUCAAACGACGAAGGGAAGAUCCAAAUAGAUGUGGCGAGUGCCUCUCUUCAGCCCUUCACGCAGGAGCAAUGGAGGAAAAACCAAGAUUACCUCAUUAAUACCGUAAGUUUCAGAAACUCUCUUUCUUGUAACAUGGAAAGAUAGGAAAAACUCUAGAUACAUAUAUUCUUUAAGUGGGUUUUGGGUGAUUUUUCGAAGGCGAGAAAACGAGCAGUGACAAUUCACGUGGCCGGAGAAAACGGAGAGAGCGUUCAAGGAGCAGCGGUCAGAGUAGAGCAAAUCUCUAAAGACUUCCCCAUUGGAUCUGCCAUCUCCAAAACCAUUCUCCGUAACAUUCCUUACCAAGUAAGUAAGUAAGCAAGCAAGCACGCCAUUUCCUGUCACGAUCAUCAUAUAUCCAGUCACUCCCUCAUCUCAUUCUCUCGUAGGAGUGGUUCGUGAAGAGAUUCGACGCGACGGUGUUCGAGAACGAGCUGAAAUGGUACGCGACGGAGCCCGAUCGAGGCAGACUCAACUACACACUCGCUGAUGAGAUGAUGAAUUUCGUCAGGGCCAAGAGAAUCAUCGCUCGUGGCCACAACAUCUUCUGGGAAGAUCCCAAAUACACUCCCGACUGGGUUCGCAAUCUAACCGGCGAAGAUCUCCGGUCGGCGGUGAGCGGGCGAAUCAGGAGCCUCAUGACUCGGUACAGAGGAGAGUUCGUGCACUGGGACGUGAGCAACGAGAUGCUCCACUUCGACUUCUACGAGAGCCGCUUGGGGGAGAACGCGUCCUACGGGUUCUUCGAGGCGGCGCGUGAGAUUGACUCGCUGGCGACUCUGUUCCUCAAUGAUUUCAACGUGGUGGAGACUUGCAUCGACGAGAGGUCGACGGUCGACGAGUACAUCGCGAGGGUCAGGGAGCUCCAACGGUACGGCGACGGAGGAGUACGGAUGGACGGAGUCGGGCUCGAGGGUCACUUCACGGUGCCGAACGCGGCGCUGAUGAGAGCCAACCUCGACAAACUAGCGACGCUUGAGCUUCCGAUCUGGCUCACCGAGAUUGAUAUCAGCUCCACCCUCGACCACCACACUCAGGUUAACCACCAUUCUUUUCCUUCCGGUUUAUUCCCGGUCUAUUUCAUACAUUAAUACAAUAUAUAUACGUACACACAAUUUUAAACCGAAUUGACCACACCAUAAUUGAAUCUGGCUGUGGUUACAGAUUUUUAUUUACGCAUGUUUAUAUGGAUUUUUUUAUGCAUGUUAUUGUCUAUAUUUAGACUAAUGUAAUAAUGAUAACAAUAAUAACAUAGAGGAAUGAAACAUUCAUAUACAUUUUGGGGGUGAUGAAAAUAAUUUAAUACAUUACAUAUCCUAGUGGUUACGAUAUAUUAUUUUCAAGUCGGUACAAAUAUACUUUUUGUUGUUACCACUUACCAGUUGCCGGUUUUCCGAUCGUUUUGCAGGCGAUUUAUUUGGAGCAAGUGUUACGUGAAGGAUUCUCGCACCCAUCGGUGAACGGUAUAAUGCUAUGGACCGCACUUCAUCCUAACGGCUGUUACCAAAUGUGCCUCACUGACGAUAAUUUCCGGAACCUUCCGGCCGGCGACACGGUGGAUAAGAAGCUUCUAGAAUGGAAGACCGGUGAGCUUAAGGCGACGACCGACGACCAUGGUUCUUUCAGCUUCUUCGGCUUUUUGGGAGAGUAUGAGGUCGGCAUCAUAUACCAGGGUAAAACGGUGAAUUCUUCUUUCUCGCUAUCUCGAGACCCUGAGACCAAACAUGUUAGGCUCCAAAUCUAACGUGUCUUAUGUUUAAGAUUAUCAUCUGUUAACUAACAUACGCUGCGAAUCUUAUAUGGUCGAUAAAGAUACUUCUAAGUAUAGGGUUAUCAUCAAUAAAGAGCACAUAAAUUGGAUAAAUUUGCACCUUAAAAAAAGUAGAAAAUUUGAAAAUUGAAUUUACUGGUGGUGGUGGUGGAGACAAAAGUGACAACGGGUCAAAAAGUGGAUGAAAUGAGACGCAACUUAUUUUUAUUUUUUUGGCGUGAGCAAACUUUUUAUUUGUUUAGAAAUUAAAAAAAAAAAAAAAACAUAAUGAGACAUCAAAUCAAAAUAUAAAUUUUCUGAAAAGUAACUUAAAAAGCUUAAGUGGCAAUAUUCAGAUCACACAGCCAUUAACUGCGAGGCCCCGUUGGCUCUGGCGAGUGGCGACAUUAUCAUAUAUUGACUUGCUAAAGAAUUUAAGAAAUAUACCAACCAAAUAUCUCACACACAAUAAAUAUCAUUUUAAUUCAAGGGAUAUAUAAUCGCUUUGGCGCUUUUGGAUCUAAACGCACCUAAGAUCAUUGAGUCACAAAAACAUGGGUAUCUCACAAUUUGGAACACGGAAACACUCUUUCAAAGAGAGAUGAAGCAAGAACACGCACACACAAAGCUAAAAUGCAGUAAAACUAGAAUUGUUGCAGUCCUACGCGAAAAAACGAGUAUCAACAAGACAAUCUAGAAUUAGAAAUUAAACAAAGGCAAAACUGCUAACAAAACGAACUACCAAAUACAAAGAUGAUGCUACGAGAAAAUAAACAGAAACGCAGAGGUAAAUGCAGCGAGUAGCAUUGCUAGUAGUGAAGUGCUGGCUACUCGGCUCGAGUCUCCCAUGGCCAAACCCGCCAUCCACGAUCCAUCUUGUAACAUCGUCUCUCCCGAACCUAGCUCCGACCCAUCAAAACCCUGACCCUGUUGUUGACCCUGACCCUGUUGUUGACCCUGACCCUGUUGUUGACCCUGACCCGAGUAACCCGCAUCUGAACCGGGCACCGGAUCUGAACCUUGAGAGGUCGCCGACGAGUCGGAAACUGGUGUGGAGUAGCUUGUCGAUUUCUGGCUGUUUACAAGAAAACGAUAAAAGAAAAAACAAACACACUAAUCCAUAAAUUUGUAAUUUUAGAUAUUGGAACUUGCAUUUUCAAAUAAAUUUGGAAUUUUAUGCAACAUUUUGCUAAAAACUUUCUCGUGAAAAUUCAUUCAUCGUUAUUGUCAAACAAAGAGAAUCUUUUUGCCUCUCCAUAUGGUGUUUUAUGAAAAGAAGAGAAACAAACAUCGGCUUUUUGAAAAAACAUAUAGCCAAAUCUUUUAUUACAAAAAGAGGAGAUCCUAAUAAGGUUAAUAAUUACGAAACCCAUUAACACAUAAUAAAGUGUGAAUUUUUGUUUAAAAAACCAAAAAAUUUGUGGAAAACAAAAAAAAGAAAUAAUAUAAAAGCAGGAGAGAAAAUCGAGGGGCAUUACCUUGGGGAGGAGGGGCAAAACGUCACCGUAUAAUCUCCGCCGGAGCAAGUGAAGGUGCUGGUGGCAUCAUCGUAAGCGUAGCUGUAGGAGCGAGGACACGCAGCUUUGAACAUCUCAGAGUAAACCGAAGGCCUACAAGUGGAAGGUGUAGCGUACGCGCCGCUGCAACAGUACUCAGGACUCCGAAACGCUUCGCACGCGCUUUUACACGCGUCCCCGUCGCCGAAACGCAACUCAGCAGGGCACUGAAGGUUGAGAUCGGAUGUACAACCCGUAGAAGCACACUGUCCAGAUCCGCCGGUGACUUCAACGAUCAUCGGAAUGUUGUAGCCGUCGACGAGGCUCACGUCGUAGAAAUCGUCGCCGCCUGUGCCUAGAGUGAACUCCGCGAGGGUAACAGGAGGAGCGGCGCCGAGUCCACCGCAUUCGACUUGGUUGGAGCCGCAAUCUCCGGUUGUGCAAGUACCGGAGCCAGAACCGCCGAAGCUGCAACCGGUUCGAGCCCAGAAUCGACCGGACCAACCGGUUGGGGCUUGGAGAGAGCGUGAGGAGUCCUUAGGGAGCUCGAAUCCGGUGGUGGACAGAGUAGGUGAGCCCGCAUUCGCCAGAAUUCCAGGCCAUACGGUGAAGCCACACCGAUUUGCGAAUGUGAACUUUGAGCCAUACGAACCUUGGAGCAAAGGUUUAGAAGAAGAAGCAAAUCAGAAAGAAAGAAAAAGGAAGAAGGAGAAAGUCUGAGACCUUUUCUUCUUCUUAGAGCAAAGGUUAAGAAGAACUUGCUUUACCUGUGGAGGCUAAGAGAAUAACUAUGAAGCCCAGUGUGAGAGUAGAAGAGCUGCGACGAGAGAAAAGAUCCAUUACAGUUUUUAAAAAAAAAAUUCUUACUCUCACUCCGACCUAAUGAAAAGUGAAGAAAUUGGUGUUUUGAAGAAGAAGAGAGAGAGAGAGAUUAGAAAAACUGUAAAGCUUCUUUGGUUGAGAUGAAUUUAUGUUCUUUAUUUUAGUUAUUUCCAUGAAUUUGUUAUUGGGUGAUAGUUCUAGGCGUUCGGAUAUUCGGUUCGGUUUCGGUUCGGAACUAAUCGGUUCUAGAUAUUUCGGAUAGAAGAAGUUAGGAUCCAUCGGGUAUUUUUAUAAAUUUCGGUUCGGGUUCGGUACCUUUAUUUCGGUUCAGUUCCGGUUCGGAUAAUCGGAUCCGGAUCUUUUGCUUCAAAUUUUUAAUUCGACUCACACUUUUUUAAUAACAAAAAUUCAAAAAUAUAUAUAUCAAAACUUAAAAAUAUACCCAAAAGUCUCAAAAAUAAAGAAAAUAUAUCUGUAAAACCAGAAAUAUAUACCAAAUAUCAAAAAUAUCAAAAAAAAACUAAUAUUUAGAAGGAUAUAUAAAUAUACUUUGAAUAAUUCGGGUACCUAAUCGGUUCUCGGUUUGGUACUAGUUCGGUUCCGGUUCUUCGGGUAUAAGAGUUUAAAAUCCUUCGGAUAUUUUUAAAAAUUUCGGUUCGGAUUCGAUACCUCCAUUUCGGUUCGGUUUCGGUUCGGAUAUUCGGAUUCAGGUUUUUUGUCCAGUGAUACUGGGCUCUAUGUUAUGUCUGAAAACCUGACAAAUUUUAUCUUAUGCAAUUAUUAUAUGCUUUAUUUUAAAUAAAACGAUUAAUGGGUGGAGAGAGACAGGACCAAAAUUGUUUAGGACAUCAUUAGUUUGACCGGUUUUUCUGUCAAGUCACUUAAUAUUCAUUAAAAGUUUGUGUACAUUCGUUCGUUGAUGUAGCCUAGUAGCCGAGGAACUGUUUGGCCAAGUGGUUUCCAACUUUGCUCCGCUUUUCAGGCGUGUAGGGUUCCACCCUAGUUUAUCUUUGUGUGGUUUUAGGUCCAAAAUUUUAUUUUGUCGAACGAUAUAGACAUAAACCAAAAAAAAGGGCAUCCCCCGAGUGUUAGCCAAUAGCCCAUAAGAUCAAUUGGGCUUGAGCCUCGGCACAUAAUUAGGUUUCCGGAAAGUGAGAGUAAAAAAACAAUAAAAAAGGGACCUACAUAAUAAAGCAUAUUUAUAUCGUGAAGUGACAUUACGCACGGAACAAUGACUGCCACACUCCACUCAAAAAUGAGUUAAUCCAAGAAGAAAAAAAAAAGAGAAAAAAAGGAAAAAGAAGAGAGAAAGUGAAGGACAGAGGGCAAAGGCUUGGUUUUUGCCGACGAGCGUGCUAAAUGGGCUGUGCCUAUUAUAUCGAUCCCUUGAACAGUAUUUUUAGUUUUACAAUGUGCAGUAAAAACCACGCAAGAUGGCAUUUUUAUCUUAAGAUGGACAAAGAAGAAGCAGAGGACAAAAACAGCAAUUCUUGGGUGGAAAUUUUGAAACAAGAAAGGGGAUGCAAAAGAAGAGGAUAUAUAUUUACACAAUUUCCCACCCUUAGUAUCACCAACUUUACAUGAAUUUUGCUAUCUGCCUGCAAGAAAAAAUAAGGGCCUUGAGAAAAUACAUUAACUGAAUUGCCAAUGCGAGUAGCGAUGUAAGACACAAACCUAAGACUAAUAGAAGGCGGCGGCUCAGCUGCUGCGCGGAUGCGGCAAAUGUAUCAUGCUCUUGUUUACUAGCGGUAGAGUCGCCCCGUCUUUCCUCGAUCCUAAUAGCUUCUCGCUGCAAACACAACCCAUCAUCAACAAUUACAUCUAACUACCAUUUUUCAAUCCAAUCCAAUCACUGUGGAACUUAAACACAACAGUGCAAGUAAAACCCUUAAUCAAAGAUUCCUAGGUUCCAUUACACAUAAUGUUUCCAUCUAUGGCACAUUUUGCUCGCAACCAUCCAAUCUUUCGUUGAAUUCAAUCCAAGCGUUGCCUGCUAUUCCAAAUUCGCUCACCAAGUGUUUUUUUUUAAUCUUUCUUGCUUUCAAUUCAACCCCAUGAAGAUUAGAAUUUGAUCGAUUUCAAGACUACUAAUCAUAACGACUAACUAAUUAUUAGCUAAACUCUAGCAACCAAUAGCUCGGAUAUACAUUUGCUACUCCAUGUCUCGAAUAUAUUAAGAACUAUUAAAAUGAAAAGGUGAAAUGAAAUGAGACCCCGCGAGGGGCAAAACGGUCAGCAUCUGACCUUGUAUACGGCGGCGGACAGAAGAUGAUGACGUAGUCGGCCCCGGUGGAGCAAGUGUAGGUGCUCGUCUUAUCGUCAUAGGCGUAGCUGUAGGCGCGAGGGCACGCGUGCUUAAAGAAGAGCGAGUAAACCGACGGCUGACACGUGUCCGGCGUCGCGUACGCACCGCUGCAGCAAAAGCGCGGGUCUCCGAACGCCUCGCACGCGCUGCGGCAAGCGACGCCGUUCCUAUUCCCUCGAGCCAUGAGCUUCAGGUCUCUCGGACACGCGCCGUUGAGGUCCACGAGACACCCCGUGGCCCCGCAUCCUCCGACGACAAUUUUCUUGGGCAGAAUAAGCAUCGGGAGGUUGUAGCCGUCGACAAGGCUGACGUCGUAGAAGUCUAGUCCUCCGGUGCCGUUGAGGGUAAACUCGGCGAGCGUUGCGGGAGGUUUGGCUCCGGAGCCGGAACACUCGACCUUACCGGAGCCGCAGUCUGCGGUCAAGCAGGCGAAAGAACCGGAGGACGGAUCUUGCGAGCACAAGGUUCUUGCCCAGAGACGACCGGACCACGACGCCGGUAUUCUGACGGUCUUGGAUUUUCCUCUAGCUAAGCGAAAUCCAGUUGUGGGGAGUGGCGGUGAGGUGGCGCCGGAGAGAAAACCGGGCCAUAUCGUGUUCCGGCAACGAUUGGUGAUCUUGAAUGAAAUCAGCUCGACUCCUGCCACGUGAAAAUCAAUCGAAUCAAUACAUAAAGAAGAAGAAGAAGUUGGUAUUCAUCUUUUGAGAAUAAAGAAAGCAACAGAAGGAAACAUUAAUCAAUCACCUUGAAGAGAUAAGAAAAACCCCAAGAUCAUAAUCAUCAGGAUUCGAUCCAUAGAUGCAGGAUUGGGAUUGAGAAAGUAGAAUGCCCAAGUGGUGAGAUUCACUCUACUUUCGGUGGCGGAUGAGAGAAUAGUGGGGAGAGGGAGAGAGAGGGCCUCUACUGAACCGAAUCAAACCGUAAACGAUUAACGCUCUCCACACUCCACACUGGGUUUUGAUAAUUGGAUAUUAAACCGGUUCUCUAGUGCGCACGUGGGUCUUUGUGGCCCAUUGCACAUGCGAGAUACUAUAGCACUCCGAUCCCAUUGAUCUGAAAUCUUGACAUAUCCAUUUACGGAUUAAUCUACUUAUCCAAUAGGCUACCGUAUAAUGUGUUGGUUCUAUCAUGAAGACACAGUGGCGUUUUACUUUUACAGGGCGAUACAAAAAAGACUCUAAAAUUAUUAGUCCAAGUUUCAAAAAAUCAAUUUAAUAAAGAGAGAUUGAUGGAGACUGCGGUAUAACUAAAUGCCAUUAAAUGAUUCCAUGAUUUGGAAUCUGUGCCGUAUAUUAUCCCAUUCUCUUAAUAUAAUCCACCAAAAGAUUCAAAGGCAAAGUAGCAGUAGAUCUAACGUUCAGGAUUCAGAAACCAAAGAUUCAUAUGAUUAUAAUAAAGCCCAGAAAUCUUUUCACUAAAUAAUGUUUGCGUAUGAACACUUGAAACAGAGCAGAAGAAGCUUUUUCACCCGAGACAAGCACCACCAUUAAAAACCACACCAUUAAAUAGCAUAAACAAAUAACCAUAAGUCCUAAUCCGAAACACCAUCAAAAGAAGACCCGAAAAUGAACUAAGAAACGAAAGAGAUCCAUCAUAAGCAAAAAAAGCGGAUAAUAAAGAGAUAAGUACGCCGCGAGAAGAAGACAAUCUGUUCGUGUUUGAGACGACGGAUUCAGCCUUCCCCAUCGCCGGGCCGAUGUCCGAUUCAACGUCCACCGCUGGUGCAAUCCCUGGCGAAAUGUCCCGACUCCCCACAGCUGUAGCAGCUUCCUCCGCCGCCACCACCGCCUCCAUACCUUCCUCCACCACCGUAGCUACCUCCUCCUCUGUCUCCGCCGUAGCCGCCCCCGCCGUAGCCACCACCGCCGCCUCCGUAUCCUCCACCGCCUUCGGAACAGUCUCUCGCCAUGUGACCUGGCUCACCACACUUGUAGCAGUCGUUUCCUCCUCGGCCUCCGCCGCCACCUCUUCCUCCGCCAAAUCCACCUCCAGAUCCGCGGCCUCCACCUCUUCCGCCACCAAAGCCUCCGCGUCCGCCAGAAGAACCACCGCUGGUACCUUGGACGGGAGCGCCGUCGGGUCCGGAGACCUCGAUGGCCUUGGGACGGCCAUUGUUGUCCAUCUCAACCUCGAACUCGACAGAUUCAUCGGCUGCAAGGCUACGGAAACCAUCAGAUCUGAUGGAGGACUGGUGAACGAAGAGAUCGUCGCCGGCGUCGUCGGGAGUGAUGAAGCCGAACCCCUUCUGAGUGUCAAACCACUUGACCGUACCUCUGCGCCUGGCACCACCGUUGUUGUUUUCGCCACUCAUUUUGAUCGAAAUCUCUUAACCCACUCGCUUUUCUCUCACGCUCAAACGAAACCCUAGAAAUUUCACCCCUCACAGCAGAUCUCUUCACGCUGCCGCUGUUUAUAUGCGUAGGAGAGGUGUGGCAAGGGUAUGACUGCCACGUCACCACAUUUUUCCGUAUUGUAUUCUCUCAGUUUUAUUUUUUCCCUAGAGUAAAGUUUACAGUGUAACGGCAAUACAUUUAUUUUAUUAAUUCCUUCUGGUAUUUCUCUUUUAAACACGACCCUUUACCAUUUCUUUUUUCUUGUUAUAUCCUUUAACUCUUCUUGUAUUUUGUUUAUUCUUUUUUUUAUUUAUUGUUUUGCAACUCGAAAUCGCACAUCCGAGAAAAGUAAACAAAAAAAAUCGCGUUAAUCUCCUUUGAAAUAAAUAAUGGUAUUUGUUGUUUUCGAAAACGAAUCUGCAGCUAUAAUUUUUUCAACCUGUAAAAAACACGAAUUGUGGGAAAAAAACAAAAUGUAUAAUAAAAUGUUGAAAAGAAAAAAAUUAGAGACUUAAGUGGGCCAGCCUGUAUAUAUUAAAUCGUUAUCGGGAAACAGAAUGGAUCGUUGGCCCAGCGAGCCGUUGUAUCUGGACGGUUGGGGUGUUUUCCAGGAGAGAUAUCAACCGUCAGAUUUUGAUCGUUGUAUUGAAAAGUUUGAAACAACAAUUCAUUUAAAUGCUAUGUAGGAUGAAAAUAAUUGAAGAGGGUAGUUUAGGAAUAGAGAACGUCAAAAAAAAAAAAAAGAGAGUUCAUCAUUUGAUUUUAAUAUUACUACUUUUAUACGUUUCCGGUGUGGUCAACAUAAAAGAACGAACCACGUCAGCAGAUAUUUCAAUGUGGUCAAUAGACUUUGAUUGUUUCAGUCUGGUCAGUACACUCAAUACGCAAUUACCAUAAAUUAAAUUUUUACCAAAUGAUGGUUUUAGUCUGGAGACGACUAUGACCGCAUGUAUUUGUAAAUCUAUAUAUACAUAGAUAAAUGAUUGAAGUAUAUUUAAUUUAGUCGUAUACUAAUAGUCUUAUAAUAAUAUACACAAAGAUUAACAAUUUAGCUUAGCAAAAAGGACAUAUACCAUGAACAUGAGAGUAAAUGAAUAAUAUUCACCGUAGUUCAAGUGUCAGAACUGAUAUUAUAUCCGAAUGUUUCCACAAAUUGAGAUGAGAGGUGGUGAAGUUUGUGCAAGAGGGGAGAGUGAAGGUAGGUAAUUCGAACAAAGCAGCCAGCUUCGCUCAUCUCUAGGAGUGUGACGGUGGAUUGAUCAAAGCACUAAUAUCAUACAUGUCGCACCUGGCUUUCCUCGUGGCUGCAACAUCUUUUUGUAUCUUUGACUUCUGGGUAUCCUUAAAAUUACAAGGGAGUUAAAUAAACGCAGCCGUUUGGUUGUUAUCUAAGUUUCCUAUUUUUGGAACCCGCUUAUCUGGAUAGAGAGUUCCUCUGCAUUUGCAAUCUGCAUAUGAUUUAUUUUUUCAAUAAAGUUGGUAGUACGUUGGAACUGAUAUGGAAGCUCCCAUAAAUUAUGUAUGUGUAUCAAAAAUUGCAAAUACCACAGAACAUCCAUUGGGUUAUACAAAAUUAAGAUCAUAGCACUUUUCUUUUAUGCUUAAAGCUAGAGACAAUCUAUGAUCCGUCCUGCAAUUGCAAUUUUUCAGGAGGUAUGAUACACUCUCUCAGGUCAGAUAAUUCAUUCUCCAAUUAGACUUUGUGUCGUAUUGUCUUUGCCUUGCAAUUUUGUCUCUUGAAUUGAGUUCCAUUUUCUCCUUCAGUAGUGAUCAGGUCAACCAGAGAGAUCUCAAAGAAUGGCAUACAUUAUUAGAGAGAUGCAUAAAAUUGAAGUGUAGUUAGCUCCUGAUAUGAAUCCUAGUAGCAAGCUUCCCCAACUAGAUCAAAAACUACCUUCACAUACUGGAUUCAAACAUAUGAUAGGAUGCAGAUAAAAAAGGCAUUGCAACUCGAAAUUGCAUGAUGAAUAUGAAUAUACAGCCUCAAAAUCACAUACGCACACGCAUUGAGAUGUUUUCUUAUACAAAAGAAAGAGAGAGCUAGACGACUUUAUACACAAGAGGAAACCUAACACAUGUGACAUGUACAACAGAGCCAUGUGUAUUAUCUUGGUUCUUUUCCGUGAAACAAUAAAUAGAAGGAGAUAUACACAACAAUGAGUCGACGAUUCCGGCUUUUGCUCAAUAAUACAUCAAGCCGUACCUUGAGCUCUUGCGAAGGUGAGGCCAACGCAGGCAUCAACAAAAUCUUUAUCAAUGAAAUCCGUGGAGAAGAUCUGCAGCCUGUCAGCAAAACCUCUUUUAACACACUCGAUGAUGAAAACCUUGGCGUAGCAAUGAAUCCGCUUCGUCACGGGUUUAACACACAAGAUCGGGUUAUCAGGCUGCGGAGUCACAGUGUUCUCCACCCGGUAGAAGAACUUCCGAGAAGACGCCGGUGCCUGCUGGCUCAAAUGCUUCAGAUUGCUCUCGAACUUGGUCGAAGGAAGGUCCGUGUCGACCCAGUUGUCUUUCAGGUAACCCGCGCUCCACAGGGGCUCACCGUGCUUUGGCUGAGGCGAUUUCCGCGGUUUCCAAACGCAGAUCACUCUCUUGGGCAGCAACUCUGCGACUGUCUUGCCGAAAACGUUGUCGUCCUGGUGAAUCAGAUGCUCGCCGAGCUGUUCUAUCAGGUACUUAUCGAACUCCGGCGGAUCCACGUGUCCAAACUCUGUCCUGAUCUCGAGGAUGACAACCUCGGACUCUGUUUCGGAUAGGAACCGUUUGAGAUCGUUUAGGACAAGGUCGACGCUGUAAGUCUUGAGGAUUCCGUGGCAGACACGGCGAUCUUCUUGGACUCGGAUGUCGAGGACCCGAGUACCGGCCACGAGCUGGUCGUAGAUGGAGAGACACUGGCACUGCGCGAAGGGACGUGACACGAACCUGAUCCCGAUUUUGUUGGUGGCUGAGUCGUGCGUCCCUGGCCACACGAUCUUGUUUAUACGAAGCUUGUCUGGUCCCACGCCGGCCAUCCAAGUUUUCCGAUCGGACGGCAUGUAAUCACACCCCGGGAAUUCGCAGCCGCACGAUUUCUGGAGAUCGGCGAGGACUUUCUUCUCCGUGGAGAUGGCUUUUCGCCGCUCGAGCUGUUUCGAAAGGUGAGACCCCAUUGGUGUGAGGAUGAAAGCCUUUGCUCUCUUCUCUUCUCUUCUGAUGAGUAUUGAUGAUGGUUACGUUGUUGGAUCAAUCCCCUUUAUUAUAAAUAAAUUAAUUUUUCUCGAGUAAACAAAACGGAUAGGUUGUUAUGAUUGUUUUUCUUUUUUAUUAUUAUUGUUUUAUGCUUUGUUGUUCUGUUUUCCAUUAUUAUUGGUACGGGAAACUUGCGAAAUAUACGUUUCUCUUUUCGUAAUUGCGGGGCUUCUAGAGUUCUAUCAUAAAACACACGAGUUUAGACCUUCAGAAAUUACAUAAGUGAACCUACAAUAACGAUGAUUUUUUUCUUUUUUUUUUUGUUUUUUGUGGAAUUUUUAGGUUUUGUGAAUUUAAUUACAAAUGUGAUUAUUGUGAACCGGUUGGUAUUGGUUAGUUGAGAAUCUUAAAUCAAAGAGUGGUUGGGUUGUAAUUGAUGGAGAGUUUAUUUAUAAAUGGUUUGGUAGGUCCCCUAAUACUUAUUUAUAAUUGAUGGAGUAUUAUUUAAAAACUUGCUAUGAGCUGGCUUUCCUCGCCUUGAAAGCUUUAAGUAGAACGUGAUUUUUGGUUGUUUUUAUAGAGGAUUUGAGUUCUGGGUCCUUCGUUUGGGAUAUACAAGCAGACACAUGUUGAGUUUUCAUUAAUUCAUCAGAAUAGAUGAUAGAGUUCUCCAAAAUAUUAUUUGGAUGAAGUAUGUAUAGAUAGGAUCCGGAGGGAAAACAAUCAUACACAGGGCCUACCAUGUGUUCUUCUUAUAAGUCAAACACACCUUACCAACGAUCCAGUCCACACACAAAAACAUAAAAUUUAAAGGAAAGAAACAAAACAGAGCACAACAUAGAUAAAAAGCAUAGAAUAGAUAAUCCCUAAAAAUCUUAAACAGAUAGUAGGAGUAAGUACUAACUGGAGUAGUAGUAAAGCACUAAGUAGGGAUAGUUUUUGGGAAUCGGAAAAAAAGAGAUUCCAACAUAAGUUUCCAAACCUUCUGACUUCUGAGGUAACAUUGGUUUAGGGGAUCUCUGUAGUUAUUCCAACAACAACCAACAAAAAAAAAGAAAGCAUAUGACUAGAUUAGAACAAUGCGAAAGUCAAUUUGAAACUGAGCAAAAUAGUCAAUCCUUAAUUAUUAUAAUUUUGACCAAAUAUUAUGCAUGCAUAUGGCUAUGGGUCGUCGUUAAUAAUGGUAAACAGUAGCGUCAUAUCGGAGAACAGCAUCGCCGGUCUUCAUGUCGAUCUGAUGCGUUUUGAUUUUGACGAAACCUCUCGCCAUCCUGAAUUUCCCUCGCCCGCCGACUAUCGAGAUCUCUCUCUCUCCGGGCUCUUCCGCCACCGGAUUCCUCGAGAAUACGCUUAUCGAGCUUCCGUUCAACUUCCCCGUCGUGAACGCCAAAUCGGCGUACAUGACGAUCGUGAAUCUACUCAUGUCUUUGCUCCCGGACACGUACAUCCCACGCCCGUUCCCGAUCUCCUUCGAUUCUCUCUCCGGCCCGACGGUGAGCGGAUCGUCCAUCGCGAACAGGCUUCCGAACCCCACCGGCGAAUCUGCUCUCCCGGUGAGAUUGGCGUGUGCGAUUCUGACGGCGCUUGGGUUCUGCCCACUCAGGAUAUCGUGGAGGAAGAAGCGGACGCGUGUCACUUUCUCCUCCUUCAGAUUAGCCGGCAUGGUCUUCCCGUAGUAGUUGUUGGAAUCGCUACUCGCCGUAACGGCCACGGUUAAACAGAGCGCCAAGCAUAAUGUUAUUAUUCCGCUUUUCAUCAUCUUUUGAUUCAUGAAUUAUCAACCAAGGAUUAGCAUCAAAUAUAUAUUCAACAUCAAAAUGUCAUUGAUAAUUGUUUCAGCACUAAUAGUUUUAAGCAAACUGUAAGGUAAUAAGAUAUUCUUCUAUAAUGACAUUUUGAUGUUCUAUUAAUAAUUGUUUCAGCACUAAUAUUCUUCUAUAAUGAACAUCAAGGUAAGAUAUUCUUCUAUAAUAUGAUAUUUUACGUAAUUACAUAUGUAAAAGAAUGAAGAUAUUCUUCUAUAGUAUGAUUGAUUCUACAUAUAUAAUUGGAAAACACUCCCCCCAUUGAUUAAACAGCACUGGGUAAAAAAUGCAUAUAACUCAGCUUCAUGAAUCAUUUUCAAUAUAUUAAACUUUCAGUCAUCCUCCAUGUUAGAGUUGAAAAUCUAAACUCAGCCAACAUUUGCCAUAUUUAGUUUAGUUUUAAAGGAGAUCCCUAGUGAAGACCAACAAAUAGAUAGUAGAUUCUACCAGACCAUAAAAAAGGAUAAGGAUAUCUAGCAACAAUUUCCUGUCUAUAUAUACAUUUCACGUUCUAGAAAGUACUCAUGCAGUCAUACAAAUUAUUAUCUAUGUAACUAAACUAUCUAUCUUUGAUGCGAAUUGAAACUGCGAUUAAUCGUUUAAAGUCCCUCUGUAUGAUUGGAAUUUGUUGCCAUUCUGAAAGGAAACCUCUAAAGAUCAUAUAACCGAGGAUACACAUUCUUUCGAUCACAAAGUAGAAAGAAAUACAUACAUCUGAAUCGCAGCUUACCACUACAAAAGAAGAAGCUUUCGAACGAAAAACAAUAAAUGAUGAUGAAACGAAUAACAAAAUUGUACAACUCAUAGAAAGACACCCAAAACCCUAAAAAUUGCAAAAAAUACUUGGAGAGAAGAUUAGAAGGACACUACCAAAAUUUUCUAUCGAGUUCCACACACAACUUAUCACCAUCCAAAUUUAACAACAACAGAUUCUCAGAAGCUAGAUAAACCUCAAGAACCGAACUCUCUCAUCACAAUCCCAAAAUAAGUAACUGUGGAGACUUUACUUUUCGUUCCCAGCCGCUUCCUUAUCAGCCUCUUCUUCCUUGUUAGCGGCUUCCUUAUUAGCCUCUUCUACAACUGGUUCCUCCUGUUGAGCUCCCUCCUCAGAUUGCUCAGUGCUUCAAAAAAUUCAAAGACAAAAUAAUCCAAGUGUAAGAAGGCAUGCGCAACUUUUUGGGGUACGCAAUCGAACUAAUUAAAACAGCCACAGCCCAUCAUCGGGCAGGAAGAAAAAAUUAGAGUUCAGAACAGAGAUUCAAUCUUUCAGUCCUGGAUGAGGUUCAUUUCAAGACAUCAACUUCCAUGUGUUUUCCACUAUCGAUGCAUAAAUGACAAACUAUAAACUACUCUCCCCUUUAACCACUGAACUAAUACAUUAAUUCAUAAAUUCUUAGACCUAACUUAUCCACUGUUAAUUAUAGCAUCUAUGAAUACCGUGUCUCUCACAAAGUUCAAAAAUUCUUAGACGCAUUAUCAAUAUGACACUAAGAGACCGUAACCACUCUAAGAUGCAUGUUCACAGAGAAGAGACAAGCAAAGCAAAUUAAAACAAAUGAAACAACCAAGGUUUUGUAGUCAAGGAAGAGACCUUUUCCUCCAACUUCUUUCGGUACGAUCGUCAUUACGGCCAUUGCCAAGACCAAACCCCAUUUUCCCUGGAGACCUCUCAUCAGACUUCUCAAUGGCUGCAGCAACGUCCUUCAACUUCACAGCGUCGAGCUUCUCCUCAAUCUCUUUCCAAUCUUGGCCUUUCUCUGCCAAAACCUCCUCCCUAGGCCUGGCGUUCCCAAAAGGAUUCGCACCUUUAGGUUUCUCUACUGUGACCGUCACCGCACUUUCCGGGUUCACAUCCACAAUGGCUGGCGCUGCAACGGGAAGCGUACGGGGCUGUAACACCAAUCUCGGCCGUGAUCCACCGCUCGGAGGUGGUGCGCCGAUUUCUUCUCUUCUCCUCCCCCAGCUGUCUGAAUCAGAGCCGCCGCCGCCGUAUUGUGAAUCCCGGUUUCUAGACAAGGACUCGAAGCUUCCCCUUCUCUCGAAUCUAUCAGCGCCGCCGUUGCUAGAACUGAUUCUCCGGGGCUCCGAUGGCUUAGACGAGACCCAGCUAUCGACUUCAUCAGCCUUGGACUGAGACUGAGAUUCGAAGAAUCCGCCGCCUCUCUCUCUCCUCUCAAAUCCGUUUCCCCCGACGGGUUUCUUCCCGGCCGCCCAGUUAUCAGUCUCGUCCGCACGCGAAGGACCCGAAUCCCUGCCAGAUUCCCUGUCCCUGUUAAACCCGCCGCCUCUCUUCUCUCCAUCCUCCGAAACCCUAGACGAACUCCACCUCGAGUCAUCCCUUCCAUAGCUCCGGAAACCGCCUCCAAGCUUAGAUCUGUCGAGCUCCUCGGCGGAGCGCUCGCGGGGGCCGGUGGGGAGGGAGACGAGCUCAUCGUGAGUGAGCCGCUCCGUCUUUGGAGCCGACGCCGCCUUAACAGAGCCGUAGGUAGCGAAUUCGGCGAGUGAUAAGGUUUGGCCCUUCUUCUUCUUCGUUUUGGUGGUCGCCGCAGCGGCUAAGGAGGGAAAAUCGGAGGAGGAGUUGGUCUGAUUAGAGGCAAGGGAUUGUUGCUGGAGCUCGGCUUCGUUUUCCUCGGCGUCGAGAGCCCAAGCACCAGGCUUUGCCCAAACAGAUGAUACAGCAGCCGCCAUGCUUUGCUGAGAUUCUCUUCUUCCUUGGCUUCUUCUCUUUCUCUCUCUCUUUGUGUGAAUUGAUUGAAUGAAUGGCUCUCGUUGUUCUGAAACACGACCACCUUUAUAUAUACUUGCUUUCUGUGGGUUUUGAUCCGACGGCCAUAAAUUUAUCAAAGCAAUAAGGGUAAAAUAUAAUUUAUGACAUUAAUUUCUUUCCUUCUCCUGCAAGGAGGAGGAAAAUACUGAUGGUGUGAAUCUUAAAAAUCAAAAUAUAGGUAAAAAUCUCAUCAUCUCUUUCGUUUAUAUCUUUAUGGAUAUAUAUUGAAAGAAAAUUCAAAGUAAAAAAAAAAACAUUCAGUAUAUAUAUAUUUAGUAUAAAUAUUCUUACACAAUGAUGAUAACAAAUCUGUACUAAGAGCCCGAAAAUGAAUGAAUGUGGGAACAAAUAAGGCAUGGACAAUAUGUAUUCUCUGAAGCCUCUCCCCAUCCCGUAUAAGACAAGAGAAACCUCAAAAGACCCACUAUAUAUGUAUAUAACAACUAUCAUCAAUUUAUACAACAAAACUACAUUCUUCUUCCCCACUAGAGUCUAGAGAUAAGAUGAUAUGCCAACCUUAUGGGAUGUUCUUUCAUUAAAGCUCGACGGUUUUAUCUUCUUCCUAACACUCAGGACUGUACGAACUUAUGAGAUGUUCUUCGUUACAGCUCUUUCCUGAGUCGUGCCAUCUCAUUGUUCCUGAAGAACCUUCUUCCUCUUCUCUCGUGGCAUGGAGUAUAACUGUUCCUGUGAGCACCGUGAUGAACCCACAUAUCUCAGAGGCUACGCUGUCUGUGUUUUGCCCAUACCAGUCCUGUACAAAUAUGCCAAUUUUUUUUAACUGCACGUGUUUUUCCAUAACAAGACCAUGCUUGAAACUGAAGCUUUGCUCUUUAAGACAUUAAUUAUGUUCAGUCCAUCUACAUACCUUGAACAUGAUCGCACUAGCAACAAUUGUGAGGGUUGUGAACAUCACAUAAUAGAUUGGAGAAACCAUUGCUGCGUUGAAUGUGUCCAGCGCCUGCCAAAAACCAAACAUACUAGCUAGUAUAUUAACCAAAGGCCACCAUGAUUGACAUGACACAGAUAAUAUUACAAGUUCAUGUUUAUAUACCUUGUUCAGGUAUAUCAUUUGCAUAACGACACAGGCUGCUGCAACCAUGACAAAAAACCAAGUCUCUGGGUACCAAAUCUGGUUUAUCCCCUCCAGUGUUAACUUUAUCGCAAUCCCCACGGCCUUUAUGCUCAUAACCUAUUUAUACAUUAAACAAACUUUAGAGAGCAAAAAUGGGCAAGUCAAACUAAUUCCAAGAUGAUCAACUGGUUCAUAAAACCUACUGUGAGAGAACCCAUCAACGAACAAAUUCCGAUAUAAACAAGAAUGUUUGUUUGCCCGCAGAGAGGUUCACAGUAGAGAAUCAAAGCCAUGACAAUCGACAUUGAUGUGGCUACGUAAAUUAGAAAACCUGUCUCAUACAAAAAGAAAAGGAACUAGGUUAUCCCACAGAUAAGUGACAUAAACACACAAGAGAAAGAGACAAAGAGCGCAACCUGGUUGCAUUGCUAGUUUCCAGAUUUCUUCAACAGAAUUCGGAGUCUGCUCCUGAGGUGCGUGUAUGACGAUCAUAACCGAGCCCACGAUGCAGCAAACACAUCCCCAAACUCCCAUUUUCCCAAGUUUUUCGUUUAACAGGAAGUGUGCCAAAACAGCACUAGGAUUAAGGAAAAGUGAAAGGUCAAGUCAGAGAAUAAGUAAAAUUACCUCUCAGAUAAUGUUCAUAAGAAAGGACCUAAAGAAAUGGAGAUUAGAGAUAAUUUCAUAGCACACCUGAUGAUUAUACUCAAUGCACCAAGAGGAGUGACUAGCACAGCCGGUGCAUAAACGUAAGCCACAAAGUUGGCAAUUUCUCCAAAAGUCACUGAGUUACAAAUUACAAUAUAGAAUGUAGCUAUUAAAGCUAAGAAUUACUGAAAAAGGAAAUAUAGCAUGGUUACUCACUUGUCACCAAGCCUACCCACCAAAGUGGCUCUAGCAAAUAUGUAUAACCUCCAAACCCUGCAUCAUCAAGCAAGUCAUAACACCGACCAGGAGUAUGAGAAGCAUUAUUUCCAUUUAAUCUCUCUUUAUUCCCCCUCGGUGAUUUAAAAUUGAUGGGGGGGGGGGGGGGGGGGAAACAUAAGACAUAUAAAUAAGACAUCUAUAGAAGAUCUUGUAUAUUACAGGACAAUAACAAAAACUUGAGGAGAUGGUUUCAAAAUUGAUCUGAUGCCGAGACAAAUACAUCCAAUUCAGACGGCAACAACUUAAUCGAGCAGAUAGGUAGUUCAAAAUUGAUUUAGCCAGAUAGAUUCCAACGACAUUUCAAAUCUAAUUCAGCAAAAAGCAAACAAAAAACAAAAAAAAAAUGAGCAGAAGAGAUGAUCAACAUCAAGCAGCAGAAUAAUUGUAAACAAAGGGUAUGGCGGAAAAGAACCAGCUCGGGUGCCAUUAGCAGCAGCACGCUUGAGACCUUUCUUCUUCAAAAUGAAGCUCGAGCCCACGAAUACACUCGACGCCACAGCUAAUACCAAACCCUUCUCAUUGUCCGUCACCAUUGCAUCUAUAUAAUUCUAUGAUUUUCUCUUUCUAAAUUUGCAGAAAGGAGCCCCUAGAAUGGUUUCGGAAUCGUAUCGAAUAUCCAAAAAAUUCAGGCAAUUAUUAUUCUCAUUGAAGCUGCGUCCCCGUUGGUCUGAUUGUUUUGAAUUUUGAUCAUCAGCAAGCAAUCACCAAAGAAAGGAAGAUUAAAGGAAACCUGCUCCUCUGUAGAGGAAUGAUACAGGGGAGAGAGAGAAAGAAGACGACGAAGGAGAAUCGCAUAAAUUUUGCGCCGUGCCGUGGUUGAACUCAAAUGGGAGACACAGAGAGAGAGAGAGAGAGAACUUUUUUUUGUUAAUUUUUUUUUUUUUUUUGGGUUGCUUUCCUUCUUCUCCCUCUCGAAUCGAGAGAGGACAGCUCAUGAAAAAAUUGUCGCCUUGUCGGAACCCAAAGGCCCAUUCUCAUUUACAUUUUUCCUUUGAAAUGUCAACGAAUAUAUAAGUGGAUGAGAUUACUUUUUAUAAGUGGGCGGACGUCUUUCACACGUAUGAACUUGAUUUUGGAUUCCUCACAUCUUUUAUGUAUUUAUUAUAUAUGAUUAAGGCAUAUCCGUGUGUGCUGCCUUCUCGUUAAUUUUAUUUUUUUUUGUACUAAAAUUAUCAAACUUCAUGAAUCUUCUAGUUUUGUUCAUGGUAUACUAUUAUAUCCACUAAUCAUUUAUUCAGCCUUCUCAGAACCGGUUAUGAAAUAAAAUGAUUAUUAUCAUACAAAAAAAAAAAAUUAUGUUUCUCCAGAUGGAUUUAAAAAUCAGUUUGAGGCCUGAUUUGAUGGGCAAGCCUUUAGGUAGGAGACAUACAUCUGUAAGGCCCAUUACAUUUACCAACCAGUUAUCUACUUAAAAGUUUCUACGGUGGUCAAUCAACAAAGUAAAGGUUUUAGUCUACUGUCAGUGAUCAACAACGUCAACCGAAAGAGGCCAACUGACAUGAUUGGUUUUCUCUCUUUUCGCACUAGCAAAAUUCUGUUCCCUUCAACGAUGAUGAUGUCGAACGUUAAUCAGAAUAAUAUAGCAAAAGUCGUUUAGUAAGUUGUCUCAUACUAUUAUAGCCAUAAGAAAUCAGUUUUUAAUCCCAACAAUAAAGUUUGAAAGGAGAAACUUAAUGCACUUGGCCAUAAGAAAUCAGUUUUUAAUCCCAACAAUAAAGUUUGAAAGGAGAAACUUAAUGCACUUGGCCAUUUUAGUAGUUACAGGGGAAUGCAGAAACGCAAAAAAUGAAAUUAGUAACGUCAAUCAGAUCAAGUGCAAUAUCCAUGUUCUAUUUUGUUUUAGGCAGGCGGCUUUAAAAGAAAAGAAAUCGAUUCCUUUGUGGCAAGUUAAAAAAAAAAGGGUACAAAUAUGUUGUAUGAAACAAGGUCAUUCAUUAUUUGAUGAUGGGUACUAGAGGGAAUCAGAGAAGACACCAAACUUACUUAUGUGACACACCAAAUGGAAAUGGAACAACAAAAGCAGAGACCAAGAGUUACUACUACUCAGGUCAGGUGAUGAUCUAAGAGAGCUGACCACAAUCGGCGACAACCACCGGCUUCGACGGCUUUCCAGACGACGAUCCGACCUUCUCGAUAGCCUUGACCACGUCCAAGCCUUCGACGACCUGCCCGAACACCACGUGCUUACCGUCGAGCCAAUCGGUUUUGACGGUGCAGAUGAAGAACUGAGAUCCGUUUGUGUUGGCACCAGCGUUGGCCAUGGAAAGUAUUCCAGGACCGGUGUGCUUCCUCUCGAAAUUCUCGUCCUCGAACUUGUUCCCGUAGAUCGACUCGCCUCCUGUCCCGUUCCCGGCGGUGAAAUCUCCUCCCUGGCACAUGAAAUUGGGGAUCACACGGUGGAAGGAAGAUCCCUUGAAGUGAAGCGGCUUGCCGUUACGGCCCAUCCCCUUCUCACCGGUGCACAGGGCUCUGAAAUUCUCCGCCGUCCUCGGAGUCUUAUCGGUAUACAACUCCAUCACGAUCCUUCCCGCCGGCUGCCCAUCGAUGGUCAUGUCGAAGAAUACCUUUGGGAACGCCAUUGUUGAGCAGAAUAUUUGAGAUUUCUUCUUCUUUUUGUUUUGUUUGUGUGUUGGAUCUGAUCUGCUGUGGAUUUAGUUAGCGGUGAUUUAUAGAGCCGCUGGGGAAGCGGCGAAUAUCUCCCCAUCUAUCUAAAUCAAAGAAAGAGAGAGAGAAUAGAUAGAGAUCCAUACACGUGGAAAGAUCUCAACGGCUUCAAAAAACCUAACCAUGGUUUGAUCACCAGUUAACUAUGGUCAGGCAGUGCGUUAAGUGGGAUGAGUAUCUCGGACUUGGCAUAUGCCCCCUGGACCUGCCGCUCCCAACGUGCCCCACGUGUCUUCUACAUUCACAAACGUUUUCAUUAAAAGACUGGCUCUUCUCCUCAAAUUUUACCUCUGAUUUAUCAUCGGCCUAAAUUCAUUCAUCUGUAUUAAAUUAAAUAAAUAUUGGGAAAACGUUAAUUCCGAUCUCAAACGCUAUACACUUCCCUCAAUUUUGAAACGAUUAUUUCACCUCUUUACCAACUAAUGUCGAAAUAAUAUUAUGUAGAGACACAUACAUGCGUUUCUUCAUGGAUUUUUUGACAGCUCAGUUUUUUUUCAAGUGACAUUCAUACGACAGCUCAUUUUUGUAGUAAGAAACGUGAUCAAGCGUACGGUGACAAGAACUGCGAUCUAUAUUUUAAAAUUCAAACACUGAGGUAUAAGAAAGAAAUACAAAAAAAAAAAAAAUGAUAUAUUCGGAAGUGCCCUUUCUCCGGUCUAGAGAGAGUGAGAGAGAACCAAUCAAAAGAAUUUUGUUGCGGUAAUCGAUUAAUCAAAUGAAAGCAACGGCGUUACGAGCGGCCUUAAAAGGAGUGGUCAGCAUGACCCGAGAACAUUUUUAAAGUUUGAGCUAUACUUUUUUUUUUUCCAAAAAAAUUGAGAAUAAUUUUAUACAUAGCACAUAAAUAAUACACAGAAUAAUACCAUGGGGGCACUCAAUGCGCAUCAAAUCACCAGGGAAUCUAAACCAUACGUACCAGAUUCUGUUUCACGUGGGGUUGGUUAUUGUGAAGAAUGUAAAGUUCGUCCCUAUAGCGAUCCGGGAUACAGAAACACAGCUAUUUUCUUCAGUGAAUCCAUAGACGGUUCCAAGUAGGCAUGCUCUUCUGCAACUGCUCGAGACAAAGAAGUAAUGUUACCCAACAGUUUUCAACUUUUUUUUUCCUUCUCUUGCAACAAAAAAUGAUGGUACAAAUCGCAAAUUAUCAAAUAACCCCUUUUCAGGAAAGAAACAUUUGUUACCUUUCACUAACUUUUUAAAGUCUUUGGAGAAGUUAUCUACACGGCCAAAAACUGGAUGGAUCCUGCAAACCUGAACAACACAGAGUUCCAAGUAUAACGACAUCUCUGUCAUUUGGAGCAGCAAAAGGCACAACUUCUUUACUUCAUCAGGAACCUCUUUGGGACUGUAAUUAUCACAAAGCUCAGCGACAAUCGCCAUGGCUUGGUCCUGCAUAUUAACACACACAUUCUAGUGCCAGGCACACAGAGAAAGAAAAAUAACACAUUGCAUAUAUCUCUUCUUGUUCUCGAGUUAUCAUACCUGUAGACCGUGCAAAAUCUCCGGCUCUGGAAGCUCAGGGAAAUGAGCAAGAUCAACAUAUCCCACUUCCUCUGCCCGUUUAACAACACCCUCUGCUUGUAAACAAAGAAAAUUCAACAAGAGAGAAGCCACUCUAUAAAUCUGUACCGCAACCAAGUCUGAAAAGUGUGAUUGAGGAACAGAUCCAGGAUGCUCUGUCGUUUGUCCCCUAGCAACUAGAGCAGUCGAGAUUGAUACAGCACCGAGCUUGGGUUUCCCAACACAAACCAAAGGUGCUAGAGCAAACCAUCCGAGUUUGCUGUUGAUGAAAGACGGUCUUUUGCAGGAAUCAAACUCUUCUUUCACUACUGGAGGGCAUAACAGAUGAGAUGUUUGGAUCUGAGACUCUCUGAGGCGUUGAGCGCCUUUGCUGAUAAAGGCCAAGAGAUGUAUAGUCAUUUCUCUUAAUGGAGAAUCCAUCUCCUUCAUUAUUUUAACCCAUGAUCUCCAAUGGCUUGCUAAUGCACACAUCAAAAGGAGAGUAUGCUCAGUUUCUCUAAGAUAAGCAAGGGAAGUCCAUGUCCCUUGAACUCGUGGUCUCACUUUGUCACGGGCCUCACGGCCAUCAGAAGGGAAAUCCGGCGCAGCGAUAUAAUAUGAGAUCAUGUAACCUUUCUCUGAGAAAAAGUAAGAUAUCACACUCUCCACAAUAUCAGCACCCACAGAUACGGAUCCUAGAGAAUGAACCAUGGCCGUAACCACAGCCAAACCGAUUCCCCAGAUAUGUUGAGGUUUCUCUGUCUUUUCUAGCAGCGAGUCCUUUUCGUUUUCAGAUAGCAGAGUAGACAUUCCAUCCGGCAAGUCAAUGAACAAAGAUCUUAAAGUCGAGAAAAAUCCGGAGUUGAGAAGCAUCUGAGCACCACCAUGAACUUGAGCAAUAGUUAAGAAAAAUUUCAUAAUUGCUGAAACGGAUGCCGUGGAUUUUUUGUCCUGAAGCUGUAGAAUAACAUGCUGCAAGCGGAGAUGACUCUGUAUAAUAGGGAACCAUGUCUCUGGGGUCAAAAAUAUUCUGAGAAUCAAGUCUACUGUUGUCAGGCAGAGAGUCAAGUACUCCGGAUUCCCCAUGAAGUUGCAGAGAAGGGGUAAUAAUCCAAUUGUUGCAUCUGAUAUCUCUGCAAAAUCUUUGGCUGGCACCAUAAGUCCUAUGCCACUCGUGUUUGGGCUGUCUGAACCAAAAUCCACAACAAGGAGCAACACCUCAAGCAGGAGGUUUAUCGCCUUCUUCAGUAAAGCAUUUGAAUGCCUCAAACUACCGAGGAUUUUGAGGCAAGGCCCAACAUUUUUCAGAACAAGUGCACAUAUUGAUAACGGCAGAUCUUUCUUGGCGGAUUUCAAAAGACGGGAUAGUAAGUCUGCCUGUGCAAUAAGUAUGUCAAACACGAUCUUGGGUGCAUUCCAGAGCGACGCAAGUGAAUCAACCGUGGUGCAGAAUUUCUGGCACACUUCAUUAAUGCUUGAAAUAGCGACUCGAGAAGGGACUUUCCUUUCCACAGCCGCACUUUCUUCAAGAGACUGCACAUAAGGUGUAAAAUUUAGAUGUAUCUACAUCAUGAGUUCGGACAUGCAACAUUUCUACUGGCACAAGUCAUAUUAAAGAACAAAUCUCAGCAAAACUAUUUAGAGCAAAGAAACUUACAUUGUCCUCGUAAAGUAUCAAGACUGAUGUCAAUGCAUGCAAAACAGAGAGCUGCGAAGUUGUGAGUAGAACUAUCGAGUUUUCUCUCUGCAUGUAACUCAACAACUCCUCUGUUGUCGUUUUAGAUGACUUCCACUCGGAGAAAUCCCAAAUAUCAAUACCUAAUUCCGUUCGUAUAUGCUGAGUGUCAAACAAACUGUCCCCCAAAGCCAUAUCUUUGUCCUUAUCAGUUUUCUGUUUGUAUUUCUCCCAAAAGCUCGACUCAACUAGAAACUGGAAAAGCUCUUUGAAUGGACCAGUUGGGAUUUCACGACCUUCAAGUUUUCCUUGUAGAUGACAAUAUAGAUCGCUGAGAAUCAAAGGCAUCAACGCCUUUCCUCCGCUAGCAAAUAUAACCAACAGAGUAUAAGCAAUAACACGAUAAUGUGAUACUCUCUUUGAAUAACAGGAUACAUGCGUCACUGGAUUUGGAAAAAAGCAAAGACAUACUGUAGAACAAGUUUAGUAAAAAUACCAGAAACAUUGGUCUUACCUAUAGCCAAGUUUUGAAUAUUGAACCAACAACUCAGAAAAAGCAGGUUGGGCACAAAGCUGUCAGCAGACAGACAUCAGAAUCAGAUAUGACUAGGCCUUGAAAAGUGCGUUAAAGGGACCAUACAUAUAAUUUGAUUCAAAAGAGAUGAACAUACCAUUUCCGAUAUGAGUUUGAUUUUCCCAACUAAAGCCAUAGAUAAUGCUCCAGCGCCAGAUGUUUCCAGUUUCACAACCAAAUGCACAGUAAGUAAAACGGCAGCAACCUAUCAAUGCAGAAAAUGAGGAACACUAGAACUUAAAAUUACGAUCUCUGAAAGAUGGAGCACCUAACCAAACGGUGAAAGUGUGAUGAAACUCUACUGCAUGUGCUUUAUAAGUAAAGGAUAUAUGCCAGACAGAAGAUGGACCUUUGCUUGGAAGUUUCUUUCACUUUCACCAUCUACAGAAGAGACUGUCUGGAUAAGGCAAUCUAAAACAGAUAUGUCACACCAUUUUGAAAAGAUAUCCUUGGGAUCUGAAUCAGCUGUUGGAGUUAAUUUGGAUGGAGAUACUGCAUUAUAUGUCUUCUCUUUUGGCCCCAAGCAUGGUUUUUUAAGUGAUUCCGCAAACAACAGCUUCUUGUUUAAAAACAUGUUAGAGGCCAUAAUUUCCAAAACAGAAGACUGACACUGAUAUUUCACAAAUAAUUUAGAGAUUUCUUCCUUGCCUAAACUUCCAACUGACGAAUCCUUUAGCUUACACCCCUGUGAUAUGAUGUUGGAAAAUUCCUCCCACAACUUCUUUGAUGCCUUAAAUGGUUCCAGGAUAUUCAUGUAUUGGCCCGCCUCUUGCCAAAGGGUUUUAAGGAAAUCAAGUAAACUCAGUAAUAUAUCCGUGCGCCUGGUGAAAGUGAGACCAUCGGCAUAAAUAUGCAAGAGAUACAGGCCAUCCAGAAACUUUCAAAAAGAUAUUCAGUGUAAUUAGAAGACAAACUAAAAUAUACUCGGCCUUUAACGUACCUAUUGACAAAAUCAGUUGCCCUCUCAACAUAUCGCAAGAUAAUGUGCAAUAAGCAAGAUUUACAAGCCAGUUCAGGAACUGAGGAAACCUCUUUGCUUGACUGUUUAAAGUUAACAGCAUCUGAGUCUUCGUUUGAAUCAAAUAUGGCAACUAAAAGAGCAGGCUGAAGAAAGAAGGUAUUAAAAUGAAACAAAAUCAGUAUGAUGAAACUGGAGAAUUCAGAUGGUUUCAAGAAAAUAAAAUGCGUGCAAAGGCACGUGACAAGAAAAUCAAAGAAAGAAUUGGAAGCAACCUGAUAUCUUGCCGCAACAGUUAGUAGUUUCAUGGUGGCAACGACUAGAUCUUCAUUUUGUCCCGAUAGAUCAAGUACAAUCUGGCUAACCGAAUUUCUUAAAUCUGUAAUCUAAAAUGAAAAUUGUAAACUAAUAUAUACAUCAAAUGAAGAUAAAGGAAAAACAGAUAACCAAGAUGUAAUACUAACCUGUUUAUCGUCUAGACCAAAGCCUGCGUUGCUUUUUAUAUAAAAUUGUGAUGAUUCUGCCAUGGCAAAUAAUUUUGAGAGCACUUUAACAGCACCAAGCUGUAUAGUCUGCAAUAAAAAAAAUAUGUAUUUUAGACGAUAUGACUUUUAGACAUGUAGUUGGUCAAAGCAUCAAUUUCUGCGAAUUUGAAUGAAGUCCAUACAGGAUUGCGGAAGUAAGAUAUCAGUGAUGUGAUAGCUGCAACAACUGAGAUUGGUUUAGUUGUAGACGACAGCAUAGCUUGAUGAAACACGGAAAGACCAGAAUGUGUACUCUGCAACAAAUAAUAGCAAAGAAUCAACUUCCAAAAUGCGUGGAAGGGAAACAAGUAUAACCAACAACAUAUAUUUAAAGUGAGAAAAAUAUGUCACAAAUUAUAGCUGACCAAGGCAAAAUCCAAUGUUACCUCUACAAAACUAAAAUUGUAAGAGUUUAAUCAAGGUCAUUUUGAAGGAACCUUCAACUUGAAAGAGUAAACAAUAGCUAAUUUCUGCUAUAGGAUGUACUUGCAAAUUUUUUUAACAAGGUUAGAGACGAGAGAACACUUUUACCUCCGAAGACUGGGAGAGUGUGAUGUCUAAAACAUCCAAAACAGAGACUAUAGAAAGUUGCCAUCCUUCAAUCUCUGCUGGUUCAAUAAAACGGCUUACGCAAAGGUUCUGCCGCAAUGUAACAUAUCAGGAAAUCAAUUAAAGCAUUUCAGACUAGGAUGAAAGACAACUACAGAGCAUCUACAAACCUCUAAAGUUUGCGUAGUCGUACAAAUGAUUCGGAAUAGAGCACUGUGAACAGAGGCAUCGUUCAGCAAGAUAUUAAGGAGAACAUCCUUCAGCUUUGUGGAGAAUUUACUGAAUCUGAGACACGUUUUCAUCACUUCAGUGACCUGGAGAAACCAACAAAAAUAACAGAGAAGAUUUUAGUAUGGAUAAGCUCGAAAUCCAUUGACUUCAAUAGCCAAGUCAACAAUUAAUUUGUCCGUCGGUAGUAGAUAGAGAGGGGGAGCCAAAGCUCAUAAUUAGCGACAUACCUUUAGUGUCACAUUCCAACGCAUAUUUCGAUGAUUGUAUUUCCAAAACUCAUGACUAACAAGAAUGUACUGCAGAGAGAAAAUAAUUAAAGCAAGAACUAAAUUAUCCUCCAGUCCUCCCUCCACAAGUUGCAAGGUGAAUUCCAGAACUGAAAGAUAUAGAGAUAAACAGCAUUAGGUGGUAAAGGCGACAGAUUAAAUAAACAGAGGACCGAGAUGGUCAUGCAGAUUACGCACUCAACGAUAUUCUACCACAAACUUGCCUGAUAUGACCAACGGGCGGCUUGUAUCAUUCUUCUCGCAGUCAAUCAAGAUCAUCUUUGCCAGUUUCCCCGAGAGCGACCAUGAUCCGCUUUUUGUAUUUAAGACAAUGGAAAGAGUAAAUAAGUAGUCAAAUCAUCACAGGCUAGAAUGCGGUAGAGAAUGCAUAACAUGAUGAAGCAAAAUAAAUAAUUAAGCACGAUCGUCUAUUUAAUCAGUCCUAAAACUUGGAAACAACCGGAUGGUCCCAAGCAAUUAACAACAUACUCAGCGAUUUGUCAAUAACUCUGCUUUAUUGCUAGAUCUAAGAAGUUUUCAUGUACAAGUUUUUCUUUGCAGGAUAAGCAUAUCAAAUGUUGCUGGCUAUCUGUUAGAUAUAGCCUCCUUGUGGAUAACCGAUACUCUAAAUUGGAAAACCAAAAAAAAAAAAAAAUCUAGGGAGUAAAUCUCUAUGUGUAGGGAGUAUGGUCUAUCACUAUCUCUAUGAGUAAACCAAAUUAUAAAAUAGGACAUUGUAUGUGAUAAGUGUGGUCAAACCUCAAUGACAUAUUGUAGCCACUGUCUAGGACGCUUAGCCCUGAAGUCAUGUCAAAUAUAUUUGCCUUUAAAACCAUGGGAGCAACAUUUGAUGGGGAACUGCUCAAAGAGAAAAUAAACUUAGCUAUCAAUAAAGUUCCACAUAGAACUUAUACCAAGUUCCAAAGAAUAUUAAUACACAAGAUACUGCACAUGAAGGUCGAUAUUACAACAUAUAUUUGCUACAGAGAAAUAGUGAAGAAAAUUUUGUUCACCAAGACAGCAAAAGCAUAAGCAUCACAGGAACUAACCAUCGCAGCAGCUUUGCUAAGAUAUCAAUAGCCAUUGCCAUCACAGCUGCACCACUAGUGUCAAAAGUUAAGCUUCUGACUGAAUUGCAAAUUAUAUCAACCACCCUGAAAGAAAGCACAAAGAUAGUAUUUUGAAGCACCCUAGAAGCAAAACGUGUAAGAAGAAAUCAAAUGCAAAAACUUUACCUCACAUCACUUUCCAUCUUCCCAUUCAUGUAAGAUUCGUGAGCAUGAAAGGAGUGAUUGAUAUUCAAUAAGGAGAAACAUACACCCUAAAAUAAUAUAUUGCAACCUGGUCAGAGAAGAAAAACUAAGGAUGCAUAUUUAUGACAGACCAAGCAUACAGUCUUAGAUUGAUAUUUUUGAGAAAACGGUCAGAGACGGAUUGAUUCAAAGGAAAACAAAGUUAUCGUUUUCUCAUGCUAUGCUUUUUUUUAGGACAGGAGAGACGUCCAAACAUACAGCCUUUGAUUAAAAAAUUUGAAAAAACGGUCAGAGAAGGAUAUCUAUAAAGAAAAACAAGGGCAUAGUCUACCUUAUUGUGUACAAAUACCAAAGCAAUCAUUACUUCAUAAACCUAAAUAAAAAUGAGGAAGGGGCAAUGGAGUUACCUUGUUAAAUGUUACCAUUCGACGAAAUAGCUCAAGAGUCGCAAAAGCUUCACGAUUGUUACCAGUGUAGAGUCCAUUGGCCAAACGGAUGAUUAACACUAUCACGCCAGAUAUUGAGAACUUGGAACAGAAAAUGUCAUGAAUCAGUAUUUAUCAAGCUAAACCAUUUAGUAGCAGUGUACACCAUACAAGAGAUAACACUGGGAGAUUCUUCAUUGUGUUAUUUUAAAAAUCAUAAGAAUCUGACGAUAAUAUCACUUACCUCCCACCGUACAAGGCCAGUAUCUUCACCGAUUAUUCUCAGCAUUCGCCCACGAGUAUUGCUGGGAAUAACUAAACCUUCAAGACCUUGAAUAUGCAACGGCUGGGAAGUUUCAACAAGCUGGGAGGCAUUAUCCACUAGAGAGUCGCUAGUAAUAUCAAAUAAGGUUGAUAUCCCGACUGAUUUAUCCAGAAAGUUGUACCUGCACAAAGAAAGCACAGCAGAAUGCAGAGCGAUGAUGUUUGGCAAGACAGGAAGCUUAUGAGUGCAGCGUAUCCUGCCUUUAUGCACAACAUUGCUCUUGUCUAGAUAUAAAAGUUUCAGAUAAAAGUACAUAGACGCACAUAGUAUAUUGUCAGAUUACUACUUACACACAUUCAGCAGGCCAACUUCCUUCACUCAGGGACGACAAGAGACGAAUAAAUUCAGCACUUCUGAAUGGGAAUUCACUCUCCAAAUCAAAGAGAAGACACCGAAUAGGGCCAUCGACAAAACUUUUUCGAUCCCAAAACUGACUACAGAGGGACUCCUGAAAAUUAUGGCACACAAUGAGCAUUUAUGGAUGUGUAACAUUAAGGAAAAAGUUAGGGACAACGUGCAUAAACCAUACCUCUCCCUGAUAAACCUUGCAAAGGAUGUCCAGUAUCAACUCCAGGGUGGCAUCUUCCAGCUGCCAAAAAUGAAGAGUUGAGUAAGAAUUUGCAUUCACAAUAAAAUAACUCAUUUUCUACAUCAACGGAGUUUUACCUGAAUAUUGAUCUCAUAAGACGCAAUAAAUGCUGAAAUAAAAGUCCUCAAGACACUACGAUACCCAGAGACUGGCCCCUGGAAAAGGUUUAAAAUAAUGAUAGAAUCAACACAGGGAAGGAUGACAUGAACAAAACUUGGAGGCGUUAAGUAGUUAUUAUUUGCUAAAAAAAAUAAAUGUCAAUCUCAAGAAAACAAACUAAGCCAAGCUCGGUAGCAGGAAUUUUAUCUAGUAACUUACAUUGAAAUCAUUCAACACGUCUCUCUGAAGAAUUUCAAGAAAAUAGCUCAAGGAUGCUGCCUCAAAAGCUUGAUGAACAUAGCUCACGUGAUCUAUCUCCUGGUUAUCAAAAAAAAAAAAAAACAUAUACAUGAACGAUGUGUGUCCUCUGACUUGAUAAUGGAAGUAUUCUCACUUUCAUACCAUCAGGAACGGACUUUCCUCCUUCUCAGGAAGUGAUGAAAUAAGACACAGAAACACUGCCCAGGCAAGGACUAGAGGUCCUGCCUCUUUUACUUCCAAAGUGUUGAGGCUAGAGAUUGUUGCAUCCAUAUCUUGGACAUCAUUAAUGGAAAAAACACAAGGGCCAGACCUUAAAAGAAAUGUAGAACCUUUAGGCAAUAUCGACAGAUAUACAGGGGAAAUUAGGAUAAUGGAAAAUUCUCAUUAUGGAUCAUGUUUGAAGAAAGUUAACUUUUUCUGUGCAGUGUUCCUCAAGAGUUAGCUAAACAAACCUGAAAGGUACUCCGUCAUGAACCAUUUGUAACAGAUUCUCCAUAUCCAGCGUGUCUAUAAGAAUCAUCAACAACUGAAUUUUUACACGACAUGCAGAAAGCUGUGCUUCAGCUGACACUGCCAGCUUCCUAAAAUUAUAGGAGCCCAAAAGUAUUCCCUGCAAGACAGCACUUACGAGUGAAUAGGGUUGGCUACAAAAAAAAAAACUGAAAGCCGCAUUGUGCAUUGUAGCUGGUGACUCGAGAUACCUUGUAUAAGGAACACAGUUUUCCCCAUCUUUCUCCAUUACAAGUAUAGAAUGAUUCAUGGUAAAGAAGGAAAAUAAUAUCUAAAACCAAAUUGUCCUCAAUUAGUGUCUCCUCCGCCCACAGAGUAAAUAGAUUGGCAUCCUGCAAAGUUGUAGAUAAAAUAAAAAAUUUGGACCGGCAAUGUUAGUUGGAAUGAUAGAAUCAGAGUCCUAAAAUAAGUAAAUACAAGGCCCUACAUAAAAAUAAGAUCGAAGAGACGUUAAGAAGGGCAAGGACUCUGAACACUUACCAUCUGCUGUGGAAAAGAAGAUGACAAAAGGUCCUCAAGAAUUGAUGAUUGUUGUUUUUCAAGCCCAUCUGAGAUCAGCUUUAUAGCUUCGUCCCUGAUAGUAUUUUCUUCUCUUGUUGUAUAUACUGUACAAAAAUGCUACAAUCAGUUGAAAAACGAGAUAGGAAUGAAAAAUGUGGGUAGAAUCUCACAGGGGUAAGACCAUCAGAAAAUAAUCAUUAUAGCAUCUUGAAUUUGCAACUAUACGUGGGCAUAUUUGUUAAGACAAUUACAAAUAAGAGAGCGGAAAAAUGGGGAAAACACAAUCAUGACUUACAGGCAUGGAUGAGAAUACGCUUUGUACACUUUAGUAGGCACUGUCGCUCUAUGUAAUACUGAAGCAAUACCUUCAAAAAUAGCAUUGGAACAGAAGGACAGCAAAAGUGUUAGAAGGAACGCUGAAGAAAAAAGGGGCGAAAUUCUAACUACUUACAAAUCAAAAGUCAUAGGCGAAAAUAUAGGAUGUGAACAAUUUCUUGAAUUCGUUAGUUGGUACCUUAUUAUAACAGAAACAACAAAAAGGAUAUUCAAAAGAAAUCUCCAAACCGGAAACAAAGAAAGCAGUUAUUUUAGAAAACUUGUGAGUUUCUGCUUUCUAGUAAAAUUGUGAAUCCUAACUAUUCUAUUCAUUCAACUAAAUCUGAAUUUAUAAGCAAAAAUAGAGACUGAAAGGUAUCUGAGACCCGUAAGCUACUAACCACGUCAACGAAUUCUUGAGCUACCGAGUCAGUUGUUCCAUAUUCCUGCUCCAUAGAUCUUUCCACGAGGAUAUAUGAUUGGAUUUCAUCUAGAUUCUGUCCAGAUUUCAUAAAUUAAGAGGAAAAAAAUCGAUCAAUUACUUUCUCCACAUCCAAUUGCCUGCAUCACUUAACUAAUCAUUCUCACUAAAUAAUAGGGGUAUGUAUACAUUACUCAGGUCGAUAUGAAAAAUCCAAUAGAGUUUUCUUUCGAGCUCAACUGAAAUUUCAGAACCGAAAAUGAAAAACUAACCAGAUAAGAGCUGAUUCGAAGCGCUUUUUCUUUUAGUUCAGGCAUAAUCACCAACUGGUGCUCCUUGAUUUUGACUACAUCCGAAUUCAAAGCAUCUUUUGAUUUCCCAUUCGGUGACUUGAACAUUGAGAGAGUGUCAACGAACCACGCGUGGUUUUUCUCCAACUUCUCCGCCUGAAAUUGAGAUAGCAAACUGAAUUAGCACCAGUAUCCCGCACCUUAUCGCAUAAUUAAAUGAAGGGGGGAGAGAGAUGUUACGAUGGCUUGAGGGAGGUCAUCAGAGAGAGAUGAAUUCUCGAGUUCGCUGAGAAGGGAGCCAAACGGAUCCCACCAGAGGGACGCAUCGACGGAUUUAGGGUUCGCCAUUGAAAGAGCUCAGUGAAAGAUCACUGUUCGAGAGCGCUUAAACCCUAGAGAGAGAGAAGACGAAAAAUCGAGAUUUUUAGAUUUUAAUUUUUUCGCGCUUUUCAGACAUUAUUGUAUUUUGAGAAAAAUAAAAUACCAAUGAAUAAAAUCACUUUGGGCCCUGAGUUCAGUCACUAUAAUAAACCCAUUGAAUAUUGUCUCCUACCCUUCAUAUCAAGCCAAUAUAUUGGCCUUUUUGUGUAUACUGAAAAUAUUACAGCAAAUUUGUAAACUAUACGUAACAUACAUACAUACAUAUAUAUAUAUAUAUUUUCCAAAAAUCAGUGAAAUGCAUAGAGUUUUAAAAUUAUGACACAAAUCAAAACAUUUCAAAUAAUAUUUUAUAGACUAAAAAUAUGGCUUGAAAAAAAGUAUGGCUUGAAAAAAAGUAUAAAAAUAUUGGCUUGUAUAUGUCCUUCCAGUCCAGAUUCCAAAGCUACGGCGUCAGUACAAUUUGUGUUUAUACUUUUUUUUUGUUCUGACUUCUGAGCUUUCGCACAGCCAAUAAUUUUUCACCUAGAUCAUUCCUUAAAUAAACAAAUUUAUCAACACUUUAUACGUUUUGAUGGGGAGGAAAAAAAAACAUUGAUUGGCACACUUUUUUAGUUUUCUCACACUUUGUUAUUACACAUCAAAUUACAAAUGCCAGCUCGUCUUUAAAUUCACUCAAGUGAUUAUACUUUGAAUAGUCAUUGGCUAAUUUGUUUCAAAUUAAUCACUACACUACUGAUCACCUUAAGCUGAUCAUCAUCCCGUAGAACGCAGAGAAAGGAAUCAUUACCAUAUUAUUGCUGGCAGAUAAAAAAGAAAGAAACAAUCUACACUCGGAGAGAAAGCAAACAAAGAUGAAAGAGAUAAAACAAACAAUUAAAACAUUAAACAUGCAGGAUAAUUAAUAUUUAUAAGAAAAAAAAAACACGUUGAAUAUAUAUGAGUAUACGUAUAUAUAUACGUAUUAGUUUCUCAAGGGUGUGUCGGCAACGGAGGCCAUUUGCCGAACUUAGGGUGGUGAAAGUAUUUAGGAGGAAGAGGCGGUAACUUUGGAAGUGGCGGACAUGGCUUCUUCGGAAUCACCACCGGUGGUAUGUGUAUUGGUACCGGCGGAGGACACGGCUUCUUCGGGAUCACCGGUGGCACGUAGAUUGGUGGAUGCUCUAUCUUCGGCGGCGGCUUGUAGAUUGGAACCGGCGGCGGAAGCUCUAUCUUCGGUGGUUUAGGCGGACACGGCUUAUUUGUCGGCGGCUUGUAGAUCGGAACCGGUGGUGGAAGCUCGAUCUUUGGCGGUUUGGGCGGGCACGGCUUCUUUGGCGGCUUGUGGACUGGAACCGGCGGUGGAUGGACUAUCUUCGGCGGUUUGGGCGGAUAAGACUUCUUAGGCGGUGGUUUGUGCACUGGCACCGGCGGUGGAUCAACUUUCUUCGGCGGCUUAGGUGGGCAUGGCUUCUUGGGGAUUGGCGGUGGCUUGUGUACCGGAACCGGGGGUGGGUGCUCUAUCUUUGGUGGCGGCUUGUAAACCGGAACCGGAGGUGGGUGCUCUACCUUUGGCGGCGGCUUGUAAACCGGAACCGGUGGUGGAUGCUCUAUCUUUGGCGGUUUAGGCGGACAAGGCUUCUUAGGAAUCGGCGGUGGGAGCUCCACCUUUGGAGGUGGUUUGUGAACCGGGACAGGAGGGGGAAGCUCUACCUUUGGAGGUGGCUCGUGAACCGGGACAGGUGGGGGAAGCUCUACCUUAGGCGGUGGCUCGUGAACCGGGACAGGUGGCGGAAGAUCAACCUUUGGGGGUGGGUCGUAAACCGGGACCGGAGGUGGGCAAGGUUUCUUGAAUUUGGGGAACGGUGGAAGCACCAAAGGUGGAGGUAAAGGGAAAG